rnacentral:lncRNA from 1 species
ACCACCCAAAUUCUCAGGUAGAGUUCCACUCAAGGAGUUUGUGGACAGGUCUAGAUAUUCCAUUAACACUCCCAAUUCCUGAGGUAUACUACCCGUAAGUUGGUUGUGAUGUAAAUCUAGUCUAAGCAUAGAAGCUAACUCCCCAACUGCCCUCGGUAUCUCCCCUGAUAACGAAUUCAAAGAAAGAUUAAGAGCAUGUAGUUGAGUUAAAUUUCCAAUUUCUGGAGGUAUACCACCUGUGAUGUUGUUCUCUGCAACCAUUAGGGUUUUCAAAAGUUUGCAUUUACCCCAGUUGCUAGAGAGUUCUCCGUAGAAUUCGUUGUUGCUGAGAUCUAUGAAAUCCAGGAAUGGAUAGAUUCCAAACAUCUCUGACAAGUUUCCAUGGAAUCGGUUAUCCUCAAAACGGGCCCUAAGCAAGCUUGAGCAGUUCUGCAAGCUUUUAGGGAUUGGGCCUGUAAGCAUGUUCCUGGAUACUAUAAUCUUUUGGAGCAUUCCACUUUGACAUGGUAGUUUUGGCAAUGGACCAAAGAACUGAUUAUGAUCCAAUCCCAAAAGGACCAACUUAUUCAGGUUUCCAAGCUCUUGUGGAAUGGUACCGGAAAAUUGGUUUUCUCGAAGAGACAGGGUUCUUAAAUUGCUCAAGUUUCCAAUUGAAGCAGGAAUUGAACCAGAAAAUUGAUUCUCAUAGAGAGCCAAAAGUUCCAAGUUACUUAAGUUUCCAAUUGAAACAGGAAUUGAACUUGAAAGUUGAUUCAUAGAGAGAUCCAAUUCAAUCAAAUUGGUCAAAUUGCCUAGUGACUUUGGGAUUGCACCAGUGAGAUUAGUUUGAUACAGGUAAAGAAUCUGAAGUGAGAUCAAAUUCCCAAUCACAGGAGGAAUGGGACCAGAAAAUUGAUUGAUAAAGAGAUACAGUUCUUUCAAGUUACUCAAGUUACCAAUUGAAGUAGGAAUGGAACCAUUAAGUUGAUUGUGAGAGAGCUCCAGUUUAAUCAAAUUGGUCAAAUUGCCUAGUGACUUUGGGAUUGCACUAGUGAGAUUAUUUUGAUACAGGUAAAGAAGCUGAAGUGAGAUCAAAUUCCCUAUCACUGGAGGAAUGGGACCAGAUAGGUGAUUUUGGUAAAGGAUUAGAUACACUAGCUUAUUGAGGUUGCCAAAAGUAGCAGGAAUCGAACCAGAAAAUUGAUUGUUUUGGAGACCCAGUGCUUCCAAGUUACUCAAGUUACCAAUUGAAGCAGGAAUGGAACCGUUGAGUUGGUUCUCGGAUAAAUCCAUAACCAUAAGAAAUUUCAAAUCACCCACUUCUUUGGAAAUUGGACCUGAGAGUUGAUUUUCAUAGAGAUCCAGUAUAAUCAAAUUGGUUAAAUUGCCUAGUGAUUUUGGGAUUGCACCUGUAAGAUUAUUUUGACACAAGUAAAGAAACUUAAUUGAGAUCAGAUUCCCCAUUGCCACGGGAAUGGGACCAGAUAGGUGAUUACUUGCAAAACCUAAAUGAGUCAAGUUUCUCAAGUUGCAAAUUUCAGGCGGGAUUUUGCCUGACAGCUCAUUAGCCCCGAAACCAAGAUAAAUGAGUUUCGACAGGUUACCUAUUUGUUUUGGUAUACUGCCAAAGAUCUGGUUAAAGCUGAGAUCAAGAUAUUCAAGAUUUGGGAGGGAUGAGAACGGGAAAUCAUAGAGGCUACCUUUAAUACUCCAAUCUGAGAGGUUCAACCUGUUGACACUUCCAUCAAUGCAGGAAAUACCAGCCCAAGUGCAAGGAAGUAUAGAAGAAUUCUUGGCAUUGACGGAUUGAAGGUUCCAUGAGGUUAGGAAGCUAUUGUUCUGGUUCAAAAAACUGGCUUUCCAUUUCAAAAGAGCAGCAGCCUCUUCAGCGGAAGCUGAAGCUCCACAUUUGGGUUGAAAAGAUGGGAAAAGUAGGACGACCAAAAGGAAUGUGGAGAUUAUUUUGAAAGAACCCAUGAUUACUUUCAAUUUCAAUUCAAGUUGGCUAACCCUGUUACUCUGUACCACAAAUGAAGCUAGUAUUUAUCCUAUUUGUACAUGGAAGACUUCAGAGGUCUUCUUGCUCUGCCCCACUUUCUUUGUUUUCAUUUAAUUUUGAGAUUGAAACACGUAAGAUGUCUAUUCCAAUGGGCCAAGAAAUUUAAAGCAAUGAAAGCUUCCAUGAGAUUGACCAUUUUUAUCUUCUAUCACUAAUUAGCUUUUCCAUGUCUAUUAUUUUUAUUAUUUAUUUAUUUUUUUUUUGGUAACAUGAUAUUGUCUCUUUGUAAGAUAUUCCUUAAACAAUAAAAUAAGGCUUUUCAAAUAAAUCAGGAUUUUUAUUACAAAAGUAUAAAAACUUUAGGAUUGUUUAGGGUGAGGAAAAUGUGCAAAAACUUAUACUUAGGAAUGUAUCCAUCCAUUUGCCAAGAGGUAUAGAAGGGUGACCUUUAGUACAAUACUACCAUGCAAGUCUUUUAAUGAAUCGAUUUAAUCACAACUUCGAUUAUGUAAUUCAAAUUCAUAUGGAUCAAAUGAAAUAUGAUUAGAGCUCUCAUGUGUCUUGAACUUAUAUUGAAUGUAGUUAAUAUAAAUUUUGUAACAUUUUCUGAUUUUCUUUUAAAAAGAGAUAUUUUCUCAUAUUUGAAAGAAAUUGACCUCUUUGCUUCUCUCAUGGCACACCCCUCUUCCAGCCGAGCCCCCUUUCUCCUCGGUUCCUGGAGACAAAAUGAAAGACAAACAUUAGACUUAUAGGAGUAGUCAAUUAUAAAGCAAUUCGAAAGGACAAACAUUAGACUUCACCAUUCAAAAUUAGUUGUAUAUCUUUUUUGAAGAGAGGUACGGACAUUACUAUUAACAUGGACACAUGCAACACUAAAUUAGAUUGCUCAUAACCCUUUUUUUGUCAAUCAGCAACAUGUGUAUCUACUCUAUUUCUAUUUUAACCUAUUUUUUGGGUGAUCCAACUGAGUCAUGAGAAACUGAUAAGGACACUCAUAUGAAUUUGGUAAAGUCACAUAUUAAUGGCAAAAUGAUGACAGGUAAAAUUUUAACUUUUGACCUUUUAUCUCACAAAGAUUUAAAUCUUUUAUGGUGGUCAACAUCUCAAAGGGCAUUGGUUAGAUUGCUCAUAACCAAACCCCACAAAGAACCAAAUUUACCCAUGUGUCGUAUAGAUUGGAGACAGAAAAUUUUCAUGUAAUAACACUAAAAUUAGAUUGCUCAUAACCGAACCCCACAAAGAUCCAAAUUUAGCCGUGUGUCAUAUAGAUUGAAGAUAAAAAAUUUUCAUGUGAUAACACUCACUUACACCACCUGAUUAGGAUUUUACACAUAUAUGUUUAUCUGCAAGAGUUCUUUUUUAUAUGCACAACAAUCUAGACUAGGUAGACAUGAUUGUUAUGUUAAUUGUUAAAGAUAUUCGCUAACAUUUCCCUUUCUCAUUUUCUUGUUUCUUUAGGUGCUAACCUUAUUUUUAAGUACCUAAAGAAGCAAGCUAAACUUGCAACUUAUUGGAAGGCCUGUUGCCCAUGAAAUGCGAAAGUUUUAAGUUCAAAUUUUAAUAAGAAAACAUAUAAAAUAGUUUAAUGUAUAAUGGAAGCAAUACAUUCACAAAGUUAACACAGCUCUGAAAUAGGAAAUGUUUUACAUUGCUUAGUUGUUAAGAAAAUGGAGAGAGCAAAAAAUAUGCAUGUAUUAUAUGUCAAAGAAUGAAAUAAAAUUAGUAGAAUCAUUAAAAUCAAUCUAUCUUCUAUUCAUCUUUGCAAUUGCACCUUCAGGUUUAAAAAUUUGGCAAUCAUAGUUUUGGUUUUAUAAUUGACUUUCUAUAAUUAUACCUUGAAUUAAUUCUAUUGUUUAAAUACACGUGCAACGCACGUGCUUUUUUCAAGUACUAUUAAAUAAGGUUCAACUAAAAAUUAUUUUGGGAUACGGCUGUCGUGCUUGUUUUUAGUCAAGAUGACGGCCUAUCCCUGUCUAAGGCAUAGAGAUGUAUUGCCAUGACUCUUUCCUAUCACGAUGCACCAAUGUGGGGCAUGGGGUGGUGGGUGGGGUGACCAACCUCUAAAAUUUUAAAAUUCUUAUUUUUAAUGAAUUUAAAAAUUCUAAAACUUUUCUUAUUUUUAAUGAAUUUGAAAUUGUGCUCAAUAUUGACUUAUAGAAUCGAACUUAAAUGAACUUUUAUUGAUUUAAACUCAAGUUGAAUUUGAGUAGGUUAAAACUUUUUUAUAUGUAAAUUAUACUUUUAUUAAGUUCAAGUUGAGUUUGACAAUUUAAAUUUAAUAUUCAAACUUAUUUUAUUAAUUUUAAUUAAUUUGAAACUAUGCUUAACAUUAGCUUGUUUACUUGUUGAGCCAAAUUUAGAUAGAUUUUUAUCUAACUAAACUCAAAUCGAGUUCAAGUAGAUUAAAUAUUUUCACACGUAAAUUUCACUUGUAUGCUAAUAAAGCCAAGUUCAAGUUGUAUUUGACGUUUACAGAACACAAAAUGCUAUUUAAGUUUGGUUUGACUACUUGGCAAAAUCAAGUUCAAAUGAGCUUUUACUUGGCCAUUAUUGAAGUAUUAUUUCUUUUCAAGUGGAUCAUUAUUGAGCUAAAUUCGAUUUGAAUAUCAUGUAAUUUAAUUUUUAUCACCUGACCAUAUAUUUAAAGUUAAACUUGGCCCUAACUAGUCUUGUAACUCCAAUUUCCGUCCCCCAUCUUGCCUCACUUAACCCAUCAUGUUUAUUGCCGACGCUUCCCCUUCUUCAAUUCUCUUUUUUUCUCCUUCUUGUCCUCUAUCAAUAUCUUUCAAAUGUUUCAUGAUUGACUCGGUCAUCAUGACUUAAUCAAUGGUAACUGCUUUUAUAAGUCUUGAAAAUGAUGGAAAAAGUAGGACCAAAAGGAAUAUGGAGAUUAUUUAGACAGAACCCAUUAACAUCCUUACUGUACAAGGAAGACUUCACAGGUCUUCUUGUUCAGUCCCUUAUCCUUCCCUUCUUUAUUGUCUUUUCUUUUUGAGAUUGGAACGCUUAAGGCGCAAUGGUCCGUGAAAUUUAAAGCAAUAUUGGAACGUUUUAAUGAGAUUGACCAUUUUUAUCUUCUAUGACUAAUUUUCCUACUGAAUAUGUAGAAAAAGGUAACUCGAGUACCUCCUGGAGAAUGAGCAGUGAUUACCCAGCUAAGAUCUAAACCACGAUUGGUCUAUAGGAGAAGCUAUUUAUAUUGUUGUUCUAUAUUUUCUGGAGAUGGAUUAUGUUAAAUUACAGGACACCAAAUUUCAUACUUUUUAUAAUAGCGUAUUUCGUCAACCAUUUGGAUUGGAGCUUUUGGAUGUUGUAGAAAAAUUUACUAUAACGAAGUGAUGCAUAUGACGUAAAAAAGUCGUUGAAAAAAUGUGUCAACAGAAUAUUUUAAAAUUUUUCAGUGGAAACUCACAAUCCAAACAUAGUUUACCAAUUUUUUAGGCAGAUUUAGUUGGUUGUAGUACUUGCCCAAAUGGAAUUUAGUUGGUAUUGGAGUUUUGUCAAAACUCCUAAAUCCGUCUAUUUGAUUUCCAGUAUUUUGUGUAUUUAGGUUAGGGUACCCUUUUCUUUUCCUGUAAUUAAUAGCCUGCAAUGUUCACCAGAAGCGAGAUUAAUUUUGGCCAUUUCAAGAAGUUUAGGACUAAAACUUUAUUAGAGCCAAAAGUUCAAGAAGGUCCAACAUAAGUUGCGCAAUAUAAAAAUGCGAACACAAAAUCAGCGACUAAACUAGUUGAUUGUGUAUGUCACUUUGUUUCUAAUAAUUUUUUUUGUCUAGUAGGACAGGAGUAGGAUUUAAAAAGUUCAAGAACCUCCAGUAGUCUUGUACACGUCCAAGUUUGCUCCUCCUCCCAAUCCCACCCUGCCCCGCCCCGCCCCACCCCACCAUAUUCAUUGACAAAAUUUCCCCUUCUUCAAUUGUCUCUUUUCCCUUCUUGUCCUCCAUCAAUAUCUUUCAGACGUUCUGUGAUUGACUCUGUUAUCAUGACUAUGAUCAACAGCAAAUGCUUUUACAAGUCUUCGAAAAUGAAGGAAUAUGGAGAUUGUUUUGAGACUCUGUACCGCAACUGAAGCUGCAAUGUAUCACCACUGUACAAGGAAGACUUCAUAGGUCUUCUUUGUCUUUUCUUUUUGAGAUUGGAACACUUAGGUUGCAAUGGUCCAAGAAAUUUAUAGCAAUAUUGGAACACUUAGGAUACAAUGAUGAGAUUGAUCAUUUUUAUCUUCUAUGACCAAGUUUUCUUACUGAAUCUAUAGAAAAAGGUAACUUUGGUAUUUCUUAGAGAAGUGACAGGUCAUCAGCCUGUGCAAUAAUAAAAUUAAAUCUAAUUGCCAGUUAAAAUGACCAAAACCCAAUUCCAAGUACUGGAGCAGGGACUCUAGGUGUGCAAUGGGUUACUUGAUUCACCCUGUUUCCGAAGAGUUUGCUUGAUCCGAUAUACCCGAAUGGAAUGGUUAUUCCUUUCCACAAAUAAUUAUGAAUUUGUAGACAGGGCAAGUAGGGUCGUAUCCACAGAAAUUGGGUAUAUUUGUUUCUUGAGAAAUCCAAAGUAACACAGGGGGUGAUUUUGUGGGAAUGACGAUAAUUAAAUAAAUUCAAAUGAGAAAAUAAAAAUAAACAACUAACUAGAAAUUGAACCACAAAUUGAACCACAAUUUACUGAACUCAGGAUAACAAUAAUUAAAGGCCUAAAUCAAUUAAAACAAGGAAACAAUCAAAAAUAAAAUAAAGUAGGCAAUUAAAAGUCAAAUGGCAAUCCACUACAACCAAGGAAAUAUUAACUAAAGAUCUAGCCAAGAAGUAACUUCAGCAAUGGUUCACCUAAUUGAUCAUCGAAGCAAAGGCAAUCCCAAUUAUUUACCAAUAAAUAGGUUAUAACUACCAAACAAGCGAUGUCAGUCAACCCCUCCUUACUGUGUCGGUGAUCAAGGUACGCCCGUUAAUCACUGCUCUAAUUGAGAAAUAAUCCUAGGUACGCCCGUAGAAUUUAAUUCCCCAACUGCCUUACGUAUUAGAGGAGCCCUAUUCUAACCAAAUAACACACUACCAGGGUUAUUUUAGAUUAGCCCGCAAAUCCCCCUGACACGAAUCUAAUCGUGUCAGUUGUCACUAUUUUGAGGUAAUUAAACAAUUACGGAUUUAAUACCCCAAUUGACAAUAGAUUACCGAAUCAAUUAAUUAUCCGGAUCCAAAACAAUCAACUAAUUAAACAACCAUAAGCAUAGUAAUCAGGGAAUACACGAAUACCAAUAAAUAAAAGGGAAAGAUUAAAUUAAAUCGAUCUCACAAAUUUCAGGUGACCCAAAGCAUCCGUCGUUUCUUGACUAGAACGAGGGGAUUAGCUCAUAUUGGGUGAACUAAGCCCGCGGGAAAUUUCAGCAAAAGUCACGGACAUUGUAUGUAUUCCAAGAGCCGCAAUUCGUCAAACACUUAGAAGGCAAAUGUAAGGCACGGGUAACAAUUGAAGCUUUCUAAUUGUUCCCAGCAUUCGUAAAGCAAAUUCACUCCAGAAGUACAAUAAGGAAAAGUCAAAGAAAGUGGGCUUCAAUUCCUUUCUCCUGUCAUGCGUGUCCAGCAGCCAAAUGAAAAACUACCACAAACUACAAAGGAAAAGUCUAGAGCUAUGCUCUCCUGCCAUGCGCAGGAGUUCCUUGGUCAAAAAGUCCAAUAAGGAAAACAAAAGUCAAGCUUUUCUGCUAAGCUACAGCCGGCCAGAACCAAGGAAAAAACUAACUAUCUUCACUUCCUUCUUCUUUUCCCUCUUUAAUUGCGGCGCACAUCCACAGGAAGAAAAGCCCUCCGUCCGUCGUUCCUUCGCGAAAAUUACCAAAAUGGGCGUGACAUCUUCUGUUCCAAAAGUGCCCCUGGGACAAGCUUAAUCAUCUGAAUUCUUUUUCCUGCCAAUUCGGCACCUGUUAUCAUAUUUAUAUUCUACUCCCUGAAAUAAACGUCAAAUACUAAAAAUGAGUAGAAUCCAGCAAAUAAAUCCACAUCAAGUCAGGUAAUAGGAGGAAUUAAUAAUAAAAUAAAUGAAUAAAUUGCAACCUAUCAAUUCCCCCCACACCUAAACCAUGCUUGUCCUCAAGCAUAAGAAUAGUAAACGAACACCAAAAUUCGAUGAUGGCCAUUGCCCAAUCUCUUAUAUUGCCAAGAUAUUCAAGGGAAAAUCAUAUAUCGGGCACUAGUGAUUAAAAUUCAAGAAGCAUCCCCCCGGUUAGCCCCUAAACUGCAAAUUCCUUCAAUUUCCAGGUUAACUACUCUAAGAAAAGGGAAUGACACGCCACAUUUAUCAGCUAAUGGUCCAAAUAUUCACACAAGUUCCCAUAUUAAGUCCAUAAACCAGCAAGCUCCCCUAUUAUUUACUCUCUCUUUUUUUUUCUAAUAAUUUUUUUUGAAGCAAUAAUAAUAUUUGACACAAGUAGACUUAGUCUCUAGCCGCCGGAGCCUUUUGACGCGAGCUCCAACAUUUUUAGAUGAAAGAGCCCGGUUACUCAGCUCCUUCCGCUAUACGACCACGUACUCAUAUAAAGUACCACCUUUUGACGCGAGAAUCGACACUUUCAGGUACAGAUCCCCGGUUACUCGGUAGUAACUCAUAACGGAGUACAGCCCAGAUUAUUCACAGCCAAACAAAGCCAAAAACACAUAAUAACAACACUAAGAACCAAAAAUAGGAGCAGCUCGCCUCAUUAUCGCCAAUCAUAGAGAACUGGAGUCAAUAUUGGACCAGUUCACAUUAAAAUGCCAACAGUCAUUCCCAACGCCUAGAAAAGUUAGCACAGAAAUCAAAAGAGCCAAUCAAUCCGAUAUUCACCAAGGAGAUUUCUCGGAUCCAACCACAUCAACCCGAUACUUUUGUAUUUUAAAAACUUGGCAAAAGUAGACUUGGAGUCAAUAAGUCCACAUCUCAAUUUUAGCAUUCACAUGAAAGGUGAGCACCAAGAAGAGAGAACGAAAACGAGCAACUAGAAAUAAAACUAAGAAAAACUACUAAAAACUAAAAACUUGCAUUUUUUUUUUUUUACUAAAAACGGAAAACACUAGCACCCCCUUAGAUCCCCCCCACACCUAUAGGACACAUUGUCCUCAAUGUGACAAAUAAAAAUCAAAAGUGAAGCAAAAGUGAGAGGGGAAUCAGCCAAACUUCCCUGAAAUCGGGUCAUAGCGGAGGGCGAGGUGGAAACGGAGGUGCAAAGCCUGUAUGCAUCAGAAACUGCGCCAAAUUCUAUGCUAUGCCGGCGACAUUGGCGUCGACGUUGGUCAUCCGGGUCUGCAAAGUCUGAACCUGCUCCCUGAGUUGCUGCCAAUCAUCGGUCCCAGGUGGUGGAGGUGGCACAGAAGUAGAGGUAGACGGCCCAGCAGUGUCCGCGGCCGACCCAGGGAACGAAAAUGGCCCUGCCCGGGCCGAAUGGUGUGCACCCGGGGCUUGAGGUAGUCCCGGACGGGUAAACUGGUGAAAACCAUCUGGCAGACGCUCGACGACCCCCAUUUUCUCUAAGCAAACCACGUCCAGGUGCUCCAUCUCAAAUGCCAAAUGGAGGUCGUGGUCAUCCAGGUUAAGAACUCCCAACUGGGUCGCCAAGUGAGUGAUGUAGGACCCGAGGAUCAGCGGUUUGUUCUUCUUGGUCAAAACCGUCUUGAAUUGAGCUGCCAACCAACACCCCAAAUUAACCUUGAUGUUGUUCUUCAUACUCCAGAGGAAGAAGAACUCAGGGCGAGAGAGUAUGCCAGAGCUGUCCUUGCGCCCCGAGUAGCUGUAGGCAAAGAAUCGCUGAACAUAGCGGGCACUAGGGUCCUUAAGAAAGGAGCUCCUAGACCGGGAGGGAUCGUAGCAUUGCCUAUCGACGGACAUGUCCUCCCAUACGUCAUGGUAGUGGGAGAGGAAAGGCUCUACGUAGUCACAGGCACUCUCCGCAUACUCCCUAGUCUCAGCAUACUCUCUAGUGAUAAACCCAAAUGCCAGAUUGAAUUGGGUAAUGGAGAAAUUGAAUUCUCGACCCAUGAGCCGGAAAUGAAUGACAUUAGGUGUUUCAACAGUGUAUCUCGUAGGUAAUUCGAACUCAAAGGUGGAGUAAAACUCCCGAAUCAGCUCAACAAAAGCGGGACAAGAAAUAUGGAAAUAUGAGCGCCACCCAAUGGCUGUGAACAUCUGCUCAACCUCCUCCCGUAUACCAAGGGCAGUUAAAGAGAGUCUAUGACAAGACUUACAGGAUAUGAUACGCCUCUCGCAGACCUUAGCGUAUCUCUGCCGAUCGGCGGGUCUGGUAAAUGUUAAGUGCCCCCCAAAGUGAGCAGGUGUAUCUACCUGAGCACCCCUACCCCUACCCAAACGGGUUCGAACACUAGAAGAGGAGGGUAGGUUGGUAGGUGAGUUGACAGGAAUAGAAGCCUGUGGAGGGGGUUGAGAAGGAGAGGUCCUAGACCUAGAGGAGGAUUUCGGUCUCACCAUUUCACCCACAGUCAGCUGGAACAACAAGAUACAGAAUUUCCCCCGCCCAGUGCAACCAGCAAUUACCGAUGGAAUCAACCAGCAAAUGGACAACAGAUUUACCCACAAAUUUAUACCAAUUUACCAACAAUGGUACUCAAUGACCACAGGAUGCCCAACUAUCACCCACAACUAGCAACUGGCAAAGGUUAUUUAAUAAGCAAGGAGAUUAUCCAAGUCACCCAGUAAUCAAGCAAACGUUAUCCAUCCAAAAAUUCCAACAACCAGCCCAAUUAAUGAAACAACUAUAAAAGAUCAGAACAGAUGCUACCUACGGCCCCCAAUGCAGCAGUCACAGUAGAGUAUACAAUUCCAAACUGCCAAAGUAAGUCAAACUGCACAGGAUUUCAACCCAAUAUGCAAUAUCAGAAGUAACUGAAGCAAAACCCCCCCCAACGAAACCUCAACAAUUCCUCCAGCAAAGCAAGCAAAAUAGACCUCCCACGUUAACAAUCGACUGCAGUAUUUCAGCUCAACCCAAAAUUUUAACAAGUGGCUCCAGAUGGCCAAUUAAAAGCACAAUUGCACCCCACCUAAAAGAAUUAGCAAUUCCAAGCAAAAAUAAUCCAACCAGUACCACUGGUGGAAAUCACACAAUCGAGGACAGGACCUUCACACGGCUAACUCGGGACGAGCCCAGAUAGUACCAAUUGAUUUGGAGAAAUUGGGGAGCAAGAUUCAAAUACCUCCACUGGUGCUGCGGCGGUGGCGUUGGAGCAGAUCGGGCGGUGAAGGGAGAGGAAUUGAUUUACCAGGUGAGGAAUUGGUGGUGGGCGGCUGCUUCCGUGUGUAGAGCAUCAGCGGCGGCUGAGGAGCUGAGUCGCUCGCCAGGGGCUGCUGGACAGAUCGAUGAGCCGCGGCUGGCUGGUGGUCGGCGUUGGUCUUGGGCUGUGGCAGGCAGCGGCGAAAUGGUGGCGGCUGGAGCGCGCAGGUGGAGAUGGCGCAACGGGCUCGCUGGGGAGAAAGCUGCGCGCGAGGGCUGAUGGAGGGCUGCAGCGUCGCCGGUAGCGGGCGAGGAAGCUCUUGGUCGCGCGCGGCGUGGCGGUCAGCGGCGGGUGAGCGAGGAUGGAGCUGCGUGCGGGCUAGUGACGGCUGGGGAGCAGAUCUAGCGGUGGAGAGCAGCGGAGAAGGAAGGCAGUGGAGUGCUGCUGCGGCUGCUUGCGCCUGCGGGAGUGGAAGGCGGCGUGCGCAGAGGUGGGCCGCGGCUGGCCGAGGUCGCGGGCGUGCGCAGAGGUGCAAUUUGAGGCGGCGGCCAAACGAGGAAAGGAGACGCAGCGGAGAAGAAAGAAGAAGAAAGAGAGAAAGAAGAAGAAAGGGAAAAGAAGAAAGAAAAAGAAAGGAACUCUCGUGUGUGUGUUUUCUUUUUCUUUUUUUUUUUUAAAUAAAAGAAAUUUCUACGGUUAAGAGGAAAAAUUUUUCUUGCUCUUGCUUUUUUUUUUCUUUUUUUGUUAUUAUUUGAAUAAAUGAAAUAAUAAUAAUAAUUUUUCUAUAUUUUUUCAUUUUUUUUUCUUUAUUUGAAUCCUUACCUUUCCCGCGAACGUGACGCGGGCACGUCAAGAGGUCAAGAGAGCUCCCAGAAGUUUCAGAAAUUUUUGAUCGCGAGCUUCCUGCACGUCAUCACGCGGGCACGUCAUGACUGAAGGACACCUAAAAAUCAGCAAAAACGAAAACUGAAACCCAAAAUCAGUCAGAUUAAAGGGAAAACAGGUUUAAACUAUGACACGAAACCAACAAGCAAUUGACAGAAACAAUUGGGUUGCCUCCCAAUGAGCGCCUUUCUUUAAUGUUUUUGGCUAGACAUGGUAAAGUGUCAUUGAUUAGGACACGGUGGUGCGUCUAGCCUUAUUGUCUCCACCUCUCCACCUGAAAAUCCUUCGUAAUAGUACUUGAGACGGUGUCCAUUCACCACAAAUUUGUUGUCUGUCUUAGCACUCUGGAUUUCAACUGCACCAUAGGGAAAAACAUGAGUUACAAUAAAAGGUCCAAUCCAACGGGAACGUAGCUUACCUGGGAAAAGCUUGAGCCUUGAUUGGUAUAGGAGGACCUUCUGACCAACUUCAAAUGUUUUUCUUGAAAUUUAUUGGUCAUGAAAUGCCCGGCUUUUCUCCUUAUAAAUCAAGGCGUUUUCGUAUGCUUCGUUCCGGAUUUCCUCCAAUUCUUGCAAAUCCAGCUUCCGUUGAACACCGGCCUCUUCUAGAUUCAUAUUACAUUGUUUUAUCGCCCAAAAAGCCUUGUGCUCGAACUCCACUGGAAGGUGACACGGCUUCCCAAAUACCAACCUGUACGGUGACAUCCCUAUAGGAGUCUUGUACGCCGUCCGAUAGGCCCAGAGUGCGUCCUCCAACCUUUGGCUCCAGUCUUUCCUAUCAGGGCGCACCAUUUUCUCUAAAAUGGACUUAAUCUCCCGAUUCGACACCUCCACUUGACCGUUGGUCUGAGGGUGGUAUGACGUUGAGACCCGGUAGAGUACACCAUACUUGCGAAACAACGCAGCUAUGGUUUUGUUGCAAAAGUGCGUUCCCCUAUCACUGACAAUAGCUCUAGGCAUUCCAAAUCGCACAAAAAUAUUAAACCUGAUAAAAUCUGCAACUACUUUCGAAUCAUUAGUUCGAGUGGCCUUAGCCUCCACCCAUUUAGACACAUAAUCAACUGCCAGCAAAAUAUAUAAAAAAGCAAAUGAAGUAGGAAAAGGCCCCAUGAAAUCUAUACCCCAGACAUCAAAAAUUUCAACAAAAAUCAACGGGACCUGGGGCAUUUGAUCCCUGCGGGCUAUAUUACCUAUCCUUUGACAGCGAUCACAGGACUUACAAAACACAUAGGCAUCUUUAAACAAUGAAGGCCAAUAAAAUCCACUUUCUAAAACCUUAUGAGCAGUUCUCUUAGGUCCAAAAUGACCUCCACAGGCAAAAGUAUGACAAAAAGCUAAAAUUGAUUGAAACUCCACUUCAAUUACACAUCUCCGCAUCACUUGAUCUGCACACCUCUUCCAUAGGUACGGGUCGUCCCAGAUAAAAUACUUGGCGUCGCUCUUCAAUUUAUCCAUCUUCGAUUUUGGCCAACCUGCAGGAAAAUUAUCAGUUACCAAAUAAUUGACCAGAUCGGCAUACCAAGGCAAUUGAGAAUUUAAGGAAAAUAAAUGUUCUUCAGGGAAUGCAUCCCUCAACGGCUCAUUGUCCUCCCCAAUUGGUAUGCGACUUAAAUGGUCUGCUACUAGAUUUUCUGAGCCAUUUUUGUCUCUUAUCUCCAGGUCAAAUUCCUGUAGUAGCAAUAUCCACCUGAUGAGCCUCGGCUUUGCAUCUUUCUUGGUCAUUAGGUACCUUAAUGCUGCAUGGUCAGAAAAUACAAUUACUUUAGCACCUAGCAAAUAUGACCUGAAUUUUUCUAAAGCAAAAAUAACUGCAAGAAGCUCCUUCUCAGUGGUGGAGUAAUUCAACUGGGCUCCAUUCAAUGCCCGGGAUGCAUAAUAGAUGACGUGAGCUGCCUUCCCUACUCUUUGCCCUAAUACAGCCCCUACGGCAUGAUCACUGGCAUCGCACAUAAUCUUAAAUGGUAGACUCCAGUCAGGGGGCUGGAUGAUUGGGGGUGAAGUCAACAAUUCUUUCAACUUGUCGAAGGCCUUCUCACAUUUGUCAUUGAAUUCGAAGGUCACAUCCUUUUGUAGGAGUUGGAAUAACGGGGCUCCAAUUUUUGAAAAGUCCCUGAUGAACCUUCGAUAAAAACCUGCAUGUCCAAGAAAAGAACGCACCUCCCGCACACUCGCGGGGUAAGGUAAUGCAGAAAUAAUGUCUAUUUUAGCCUUGUCAACUUCUAUGCCCUUAGACGAUACAAUAUGACCCAGGACUAUCCCGUGCUCAACCAUAAAAUGACAUUUUUCCCAAUUAAGCACAAGAUUAGUCUCUAUACAUCUUAUCAGGAUCAAUUUCAGGUUAUCUAAACACGUAUCAAAACUAUCACCAUACACACUGAAAUCGUCCAUGAAAACUUCAAUAAUUUUCUCCACAUAUUUAGAAAAAAUACUUACCAUACACCUCUGAAAUGUUGCAGGUGCAUUGCACAACCCAAAUGGCAUUUGUCUGUAGGCAAAGGUCCCGAAUGGGCACGUGAAAGUUGUCUUCUCUUGAUCCUCUGGGGCAAUUGCUAUCUGAAAGUAUCCUAAAAAUCCAUCCAAAAAACAAUAAUAAUCUCUACCAGCUAAACGUUCAACCAUCUGAUCAAUGAAAGGGAGAGGGAAAUGGUCUUUUUUAGUGACGGCGUUUAACCUACGGUAGUCUAUACACUGCCUCCAUCCCGUGGGUUUGCGCACUGGCACGAGCUCACCCGUUUGGUUAGCUUCCACCGUUACUCCCGCCUUCUUUGGGACUACCUGGACCGGACUCACCCAGGGGCUAUCUGAUAUUGCAAAAAUAAUCCCCACAUCUAACAAUUUUAAGAUUUCUUUCUUUACAACUUCCAUCAUGAGGGGAUUGAGCCUCCUUUGAGCCUGCCGUACAGGUUUUGCAUCAUUUUCUAGUCUGAUCCGAUGCAUAUAGACGGCCGGGCUGAUUCCCUUAAUGUCUGCAAUUGUCCAACCUAUCGCCUCUUUAUGCUCUCUAAGGACCCGGAUCAGUUUUUCCUCCUGGAUUUUUGAUAGUGCCGAUGAGAUAAUCACCGGGAGUGUCUCAUUAUCACCUAGAUAUGCAUAUUUCAGGUGCUCUGGUAGAGGUUUCAACUCCAGUACAGGUGCCUGCACCACAGAUGGCAAUACCCUCUGGUGAGACUCGGGAGUAAAAAUAGGUAAGACUUCAUACCUUUUCGUGGUGGCCUGCAAUGAGUGUAAUGCACCGAUUGUGCAUUUUAAAUCCUCACUCCAUUCCACUUGAGGAGUUGUCUCCAACUCGAGGUGCUUGGUUAAAGCCACCUCCAGCUCAUCCCUGCCAUCAGUUUCAAACACUUCCUGCACUACAGGGUCAAUAGCACUCACAGAGAAAACUGAGCUAAAGUUGGAGUUCGAGGGGUACUUCAUAGUAUCAAAAAUAUUAAAAUACACAAUUUUCCCAUCAAACUCCGUGGACAAGGUACCCUUAUUAACAUCAAUUUUCGUCUGUGCUGUGCUCAUAAAAGGUCUACCCAAUAACAAAGGUGAGGGAUCAGGGGAGUGAUCAUCAUCCAUAUCAAGUACAUAAAAAUCAGCUGGAAACACCAAAUCAUUAACCUUUACCAACACAUCUUCAAUCAACCCAUCAGGAUAUGCAUUAGUUCGGUCAGCUAAUUGAAUAAUUAUUCCAGUUUCUUUUAAUGGACCUAGUUUCAAAGAAGCAUAGAUAGAUUUAGGUAUGACAUUAAUUGAUGCUCCCAGAUCCAACAUGGCCCUUCUGAUCACAGUAUUACCUAUCCUACAGGGAAUAGUAAACAUACCUGGGUUCCCGCACUUUGGUGGGAGCUUUCUCUGUAGGACCGCAGACACGUUUUCCCCAACAAUAAUCCUUUCAUCCCCCCUCAGUCGCCUUCGGUUGACACACAAGUCCCUUAGGAACUUGGCAUAUUUUGGUACUUGUUUGAUGGCGUCUAAGAGGGGGAUAUUUAUCUCAACCUUGCGAAAAACCUCCUAGAUCUCCUUCUCCUUAUCCGGUUUCUUCGAUUUUUCCAACCUGCUAGGAAAAGGAGGCGGGUUAGUUUUAACUGUAAUUAUUGAGUCAGGAAGUACCUUUGGAUCUGCACCAUUGCUGUCCCCCCUUUCAAGCUCAUUUUCAAUCUUCUCUUCAUCCUUGUCCUUAGAAAUCACGGGUUCAGACCCCUGAAUUUCUUUCCCACUCCUUAGGGUCAUUUCGCUCACGUUCUUCGGAUUCAACUCCGGUUGAGAUGGCAGCUUCCCUUGGUUCUGGGACUCCAAACGGUUAAUUUUGGUGGCCAUUUGACUUAUCUGAUUCCUUAUGUCCUGCAUUUCGGAGUCCGUCCUUUGCUGAUUUUGCAUAAUAGCUGCCUCCGUCCUUUGCUGAUUUUGCGCCAUUGUUGUCAUCAUUUGUUUCAACAUCUCCUCCAUAGAUGAACCAGAUUGAGGGGGCGGAGGUGGUCGGGGUUGGUAUUGCUGCUGGUACCCUGGUGGCUUAUUUGGCACAAAGUUAGACUGCCUGUUCGGCGUGAAAUUGGGUUGCCUAUUCCCUCCAUAACUGAGGUUGGGAUGAUCUCUCCACCCGGGGUUGUAGGUGCUUGAGUAAGGGUCGUACUGCUUCCUUGGCGCGGGCGCGUGAUCGGCCAUGUUCACCUGUUCUGCAGUUUUUUCCUGAAUCAUUGGGCACAUGUCUGUAGAAUGACCUAUACCAGUGCAAAUCCCACAUACCCUGGCUUGUGAUGCAUUUCUCACAGCCUGUUGCCUAACAAACGCAGUCAACUCAUUUAACUGCUGCUGCAUAGAGGGUGUCUCUACCUCAUUCACCCUACGUAUUGGAACAUCCUCUCUUGAACUGAAUUGCUGUGAAUUCUCUGCCAUCCCCUCUAUUAACUCCCGUGCUUCCUGAGGGGUUUUGUUCACCAGUGCCCCUCCACUUGCAGCAUCAAUGAUGCUCUUGUCUCUAAAAAGGAGCCCCUCAUAAAAAUAUUGUAUGAUCAACUGCUCACUUAUUUAGUGUUGGGGGCACCUGCGCAACAAGUUCUUAUACCGUUCCCAAUACUCGUAAAGUGACUCCCCUGAAUGCUGCUUGAUCCCACAAAUUUCUUUCCUUAGACUUGCAGCCCUGGACGCAGGAAAAUAUUUAUCCAAAAAAUUUUUCUUCAAUUGGCCCCACGUGGUGAUGCUACCUGGUGACAGGUAGUACAGCCAGUCCUUCGCAGAAUCUUUCAAGGAGAAGGGGAAUGCCCUCAUUUUUAUCUGCUCUUCUGUGAUUCCCGGGGGUUUCAUACUAUUGCACACGACAUCAAACUCCUGCAGAUGCUUAUACGGCUCUUCACCUGGUAAACCAUGAAAAUAGGGUAAAAGCUGAAUCAGACCAGAUUUUAGUUCAAAUGGAAUGUUGUCAUUUAAAGCGGGAAAAGUAAUGCAUAAAGGCUGCUGAGUUAAAUCAGGAGCAGCCAACUCCCUUAAUGUUUGUGCAUUAGCCAUGGUGCCCUCCUCCUGAUCAGAGUCACUCGAAGUGUUACCAAACGAAUCUGUUGGUUCAACUUCUGACUCGGGUCUUUGAGAUGUAGCACUGGAGUGCUCUUCUCUGAGCUGUCUGGUUUCCUUUCUCGUUCUACGCGCGGUCUUCUCUACCUCAGGGUCAAAAAUCAAAUCACCUGUGCGAGAAGAUCGAGGCAUACACUAGAAGAAAACCAGGAAAUUAGGACAAAAAUUGAAUUUAAAAAGAAACAAAUAAUAACGCCAGUCCCCAGCAGCGGCGCCAAAAAUUGACAGGUCGUCAGCCUGUGCAAUAAUAAAAUUAAACCUAAUUGCCAGUUAAAAUGACCAAAACCCAAUUCCAAGUACUGGAGCAGGGACUCUAGGUGUGCAAUGGGUUACUUGAUUCACCCUGUUCCCGAAGAGUUUGCUUGAUCCGAUAUAUCCGAAUGGAAUGGUUAUUCCUUUCCACAAAUAAUUAUGAAUUUGUAGACAGGGCAAGUAGGGUCGUAUCCACAGAGAUUGGGUAUAUUUGUUUCUUGAGAAAUCUAAAGUAACACAGGGGGUGAUUUUGUGGGAACGACGAUAAUUAAAUAAAUUCAAAUGAGAAAAUAAAAAUAAACAACUAACUAGAAAUUGAACCACAAAUUGAACCACAAUUUACUGAACUCAGGAUAACAAUAAUUAAAGGCCUAAAUCAAUUAAAACAAGGAAACAAUCAAAAAUAAAAUAAAGUAGGCAAUUAAAAGUCAAAUGGCAAUCCACUACAACCAAGGAAAUAUUAACUAAAGAUCUAGCCAAGAAGUAACUUCAGCAAUGGUUCACCUAAUUGAUCAUCGAAGCAAAGGCAAUCCCAAUUAUUUACCAAUAAAUAGGUUAUAACUACCAAACAAGCGAUGGCAGUCAACCCCUCCUUACUGUGUCGGUGAUCAAGGUGCGCCCGUUAAUCACUGCUCUAAUUGAGAAAUAAUUCUAGGUACGUCCGUAGAAUUUAAUUCCCCAACUGCCUUACGUAUUAGAGGAGCCCUAUUCUAACCAAAUAACACACUACCAGGGUUAUUUUAGAUUAGCCCGCAAAUCCCCCUGACACGAAUCUAAUCGUGUCAGUUGUCACUAUUUUGAGGUAAUUAAACAAUUACGGAUUUAAUACCCCAAUUGACAAUAGAUUACCGAAUCAAUUAAUUAUCCGGAUCCAAAACAAUCAACUAAUUAAACAACCAUAAGCAUAGUAAUCAGGGAAUACACGAAUACCAAUAAAUAAAAGGGAAAGAUUAAAUUAAAUCGAUCUCACAAAUUUCAGGUGACCCAAAGCAUCCGUCGUUUCUUGACUAGAACGAGGGGAUUAGCUCAUAUUGGGUGAACUAAGCCCGCGGGAAAUUUCAGCAAAAGUCACGGACAUUGUAUGUAUUCCAAGAGCCGCAAUUCGUCAAACACUUAGAAGGCAAAUGUAAGGCACGGGUAACAAUUGAAGCUUUCUAAUUGUUCCCAGCAUUCGUAAAGCAAAUUCACUCCAGAAGUACAAUAAGGAAAAGUCAAAGAAAGUGGGCUUCAAUUCCUUUCUCCUGUCAUGCGUGUCCAGCAGCCAAAUGAAAAACUACCACAAACUACAAAGGAAAAGUCUAGAGCUAUGCUCUCCUGCCAUGCGCAGGAGUUCCUUGGUCAAAAAGUCCAAUAAGGAAAACAAAAGUCAAGCUUUUCUGCUAAGCUACAGCCGGCCAGAACCAAGGAAAAAACUAACUAUCUUCACUUCCUUCUUCUUUUCCCUCUUUAAUUGCGGCGCACAUCCACAGGAAGAGAAGCCCUCCGUCCGUCGUUCCUUCGCGAAAAUUACCAAAAUGGGCGUGACAUCUUCUGUUCCAAAAGUGCCCCUGGGACAAGCUUAAUCAUCUGAAUUCUUUUUCCUGCCAAUUCGACACCUGUUAUCAUAUUUAUAUUCUACUCCCUGAAAUAAACGUCAAAUACUAAAAAUGAGUAGAAUCCAGCAAAUAAAUCCACAUCAAGUCAGGUAAUAGGAGGAAUUAAUAAUAAAAUAAAUGAAUAAAUUGCAACCUAUCAAGAAGGAGCACUAAUUACUUGAUAUUCGAACCACAAUCAGUCUCUGUAGGCUGAGUUAUUUAUGUUGCAGUUCUAUAGCAGAUCAGAAGUGAGAUAAAUUUUGGCCAGGAUUAGUAACUUCAGUAUUUUUUUCAAAUUCAAGAAGUUUUGAACUAAUUAUAUUGAUGGAUUCUAAAACAUUAUUACCCUUAAAAGUUCGAUAAUAAGAUAACUUUCUCAACUGAAAAAUACAAACAUAAAAUUGUGGGAAUACAUACAAGAAAGAUACAAAUUUUGUUUCUAGAAUCGAUUCUAGCUUACAAAUUAUUGUUACAUUCUAUAUUAACACAAAUUAUUGUACUCCACAGAAUUAGAAGAAACUUGAAAGCGUACCAGCAUUCAUAAUCAAUGAGCAAUGCAAGUUCGUGCACAUUAGCUAAAUGAAAAUGAUAAAGUAAGAUUCCAAAGAACACUUGCAAAACCUGAUUUGGCCUCUCAAUUAGCCACUUGAGCUAGAUAGAUAGAUUAUGUUACAUAGAGAGUCUCUGCCACUAAGUUGGUUGUGUAUGUUAAAUUUGUGCUCUUCUUCUUUUAUUUUCACAAUCUGUUUUCAAAGGUUUAGUAAUUUUUUCCCUCGAACGAUUAAAAUUGAAAUAUUUAUCAAUUUAUCUAAUAAUCUUUUCUCAUCCAAAACAAAUUUUUUAUCUUUUUCAAUGAUGAGUUUUAAUAAACUAUUUUAAUUUAAAAAAUAUUAAAAACAGCCAUAGAAAAUGGAUUAAAAUUCUUUUACAGUGACAUCAUUUUGCUUUUUUUUUUUAAAUUCUAAUUCUUGAUGAAUGUACUAGAUUGCAUUUAAGCAUUGAAGCAUAUAAAAUAGUCAAUGGAAGGAUCCAAAGAAUCAUUAAAAUGCACAAUGAAAUGAUAAAAAAAAAAAAAGAAAUACCCGUCUUGAAGUUGCACUCCAAAGAGAAUGAUUACAAAGUAUAAUUCCAAUCACUGAUCGACUACGAACAAAAUGGACUAAAAAUAAGACUUCGAACAAAAAGAAACUAAUUGGAAACUAAAAAGAAAAAGCAAAUUGGAAGCUGCAAUUGACUAAAAGAGCGAAGAUAAUAUGAAAAACGAGUGCUGUUGCUGUUGGCUGGUCCAAAGACUUGUAAUCAAGAUGAGGACCUAUCCCAGUCCUUAAGGCAUAAAGAUGUAUUGCCUCGUCUCUUUCUUAUCAUGAUGCACCAACGUGGGGAACGGGAUGGCGGGUGGGCUGACCAACCCUAAGUUUUUUAAAUUUUUAGUUUUGAUAUUGGAACUAGGAGUGCAAAGUAAUCCAAUUAAACUGAAUAUUUUAAUGUUCAAAAUUUUAAUAAAAUUGAAAUUGUGCUCAACAUUAGCUUGUUAAUUUAUAGAGCCAAACUUAGACGGGUUUUUAUUUAACCAAACUCAAAUCGAUCUCGAGAAGAUUAAACUUUUUUACAUGUAAAUUCCGCUUUUACGCUAAUAGAGUUAAGUUCGAGACUUCGAGUCGUGUUUGACAAUUUGCCGAAUACAAAAUGCUAUUUAAGUUUGGUUUGAACAGUUGGUGAAAUCAAGUUCAAACAAACUUUUACCGAGUCAAACUUAAUUUGAAUAUCAAGUAAUUUAGUUUUUAUCACCUGAUAAUAUAUUUAAAGCCAAUCUUGGCCCUUGCUAGUCUUGUUAGUGUCCAAUUUCUGUCUCUUACCCCCACCUCACUCACCCCAUCGUGCUCAUUGCCAAUGUUUCUCCUUCUUCAAUUCUCUCCUUUUCUCUUCUUGUCGUCCAUUAUUAAUGUCUUUCAAACAUUUGAUGAUUGACUCGGUCAUCAUGACUUAAUCAACAAUAACCUGCUUUUAUAAGUCUUGAAAAUGAUAGAAAAAGUAGGACCAAAAGAAAUAUGGAGAUUAUUUAGAGACAACCUAUGAUUAUCCCUACUGCAUAAGGAAGACUUCAAAGGUCAUCUCCUUCUGUCCCUUUAUCCUUCCCUAUUUCAUUGACCUUUUCUUUUUGAGAUAGGGGCACUUAAGAUGCAAUGGUCCUGGAAAUUUAAAGCAAUAUUGGAAUGUUUUAAUGAGACUGACCAUUUUUAUCUUCUAUGACUAAUUUGCCUGAAUGAAUCUAUAGAAAAAGGUAACUUGAGUACCUCCUGGAGAAGAGCUGCUUGUGGUCUUGCAGUAGAACUCCGGGAACAAGCUGCCGUGCAAAGGUUUAGUUGAGGUUGAGAUUAUGGAUAAAUACGACCAGGAGCUCCAAAUUGAGCACGUGCAUAUUGUAUAGGGAGGAACCCGUGAAACAGGAAUAUAUAUAUAUAUAUAUAUAUAGACAUAUAUAUAGUGCUCAUGAAUUACAUGUCACGAGCAUGGUAAACUGGGUACUGCUUACAGUGCGUCUCAUUCAUCUAGCGAUCAACGUAUAUCAACUUUCAGUACUAUGUUUCCUUUCUCUUGCCAUGACAAGACUUUCGGUACAAUGCCUAAAUGUCAAUACAAGCUUUAAAGGGUUCCACAGUAUUCGUCCUUUUUCUGUGACCGGAAAAGCCUUGAAUCAAGUCCUUAAUGUUCAGAUGGAUAAUCAUUCUCCUAGAUCCAAACAUUUAAUCAAAAUCUAGAACAAGUAGUGCCUUUAAACAUGCACUUAGCCCCAUAAGUUUCCAACUAGAAAGUCUAUCAAAGAAUUGUCCAUUUUAUUUGACAGAGUCCUGGAAGGUUGAGGCUAUUAUAAUUGCCAUAACCCCCUUUUGAUCAAGGGCCAGGCCUUUCAUCUUGGUCACAGAAUCUACUAACUACAGCUUAACUGAUCUCCUCUUCUGCUUCCUUCCAUAGAUUACAAUUAGUGUGCAAACUCGGAUGCGCACAAAUACCACAAUAAACAAAUAAUAAGCCACUAAUCAUCCAGCAUCCAAGAAAAAGACUAUUUGAUUGCAGAAUAUAGAAGAACAAAAUAGGAAGAGGGCAACUAUUUACAUAGGAAAAGGGUCAGUAUGGGGGUGAAUUCUUAGUUUAUGAUGGAAAAAAAAAGAAUUCUACAACUAGGGCGAUUCUUGGAGUGGAUUCUGCAAAUAGGGGUUUUCGCAUUCCGUGAGCUCGUGAGCUCGCAUUCUGCAAAUGCGAGCUCAAAUUGGAGCUCGCAUUCCCGGAAUGCGAGCUCACUGAGAGCCAAGACAAGGAGGAAAUCAUGUAAAUAUUGAAAAUACUUCAUGCAAGAUGGUUCGGCAGCAGGCUCGCGGCACAGCCUUUAUGGUGUCUGAUGUAGUUUCCUUUCAUCCGACUGCAACUAAUGACUUGAACAGUCAACACUUAGACUAUAGUAAUAAAAAUUCUAAACAUUUUCCAUCUUUUAGCUGCAAAAAUCCUUAUGUUUAAGCACAAAACAAAUUAGAUGAAAGGAUCAUGCGAGCAUCAAAGAACAGUUUUUUCUUCAACAACAAUGCUUCUGCAAAUUUCGAUGCAGAAAAAUCAUGCAAAGCUUCAAACAAAACUAGUGAACCUAUCACCCCAAAUACCCCUUAACACUGAACACUUCAAAUGAAACCAAGGUUAUUGAUUAUAAACACAAAUCUCAGCAGAUCAGAACUUGCGGCCAAACAAAGACAACCAAACAGCAACUGAAGUAGAUAAAGUUUCAAAGCCGCAAGUCUGAACCAGCAAACUAGGAGUUCAUGCAAAGAACAAUUAAAUUAGAGCUCGCAUUUGCGGAAUGCGAGCUCAAUAAGUAGAGCUCGCAUUUCGCGAAUGCGAGCUCUAUUCUAACCUCGCAUUCGUGAAAUGCGAGCUCAGUAGAGCUCGCAUUUCACGCAUGCGAAGACCCCCCGGACGGAAUCUAUUACCAAAAUCACCCCUUUUGUAGAAUUUUUUUAAAAUUCAUCACAAAAUUAGAAAUUUCUCGUCAGUAUGGCUAUUUAAUUCUGUUUUAGCAAAAUUGCAGAGUAGUGGAGCACUCAACCGAGAUCUAAGGAGAACAAAAUGCAUACAACAAUCUUUUCCUAACCACACAAGACCAGUAAUUAGCCGCCAAAGUUUUUCCAACCUGCACAUCCCAGACCACAAGCAGCUAUACAACAGUCCUCACUACCCAAUUACCUGAUAUGUAAACUACAACGAGUCUUUAUAAAUUGGGUUAUUUAUGUUGUAGUUCUAUAUUAAAUCAGGAGUGAGAUUAGUUUUAGCCAGGAUUAGGAGAAGCAUUUGAUUAAAUUCAAGAAGUUUUGGACUAAUUAUGUUGAUGGAAUUCUAAAACUUUAUUAGCCCAAACAGUUCAAGAAUGUCCAAGAUAAUUUGCUUUGUAGAAAAAUACAAACACAAAAUUGUGGCAAUACAUACCAUGAAAGAAAUUAAUUUUGUUUCAAGAAUCGUUUCAAGUAUACAACUGUUGAUCAUUUCAUAUCCUAUAGUAACACAAAUUAUUUUGCUUCACAGAAUUAGAAGAAACUUGAAAGCUCAUCACGCAUGUUAACGUAGCAGCAUUCAUAAUCAAUGAGCAAUGUAAGUUCCUCCACACUAGCUAAUUGAAAAUAGUGCUAAAGGACAAAGAAAAACACGAAGCAUAAAUUAACACAUUCCAAAGAAAACUUAGAAAACUAAAACCUGAUAGCUAGAUUAUGUUACAUACAGUGUCUUUGAGACUGAGCAAGUCGGUUGUGUAUGUUAAAUUUGUGCUCUUCUUCUUUUAUCUUCACAAUCUUUUUUCGAAGGUUUUUACACAGUAAUUUUUUCCCUCGAACAAUAAAAUUGAAAAAUUUGUUAACUCAUCUAAUGAUCUUUUCUCAUCUUAAACAAAUUUUCACUUGUGUUUCAAUGAUGAGUUUUAAAAGACAAUUUUUGUUUACAAUAUAUUAAAUACAACCAUAGAAAGUGGAUUAAAAUUCUGUUACAGUGAUAUCAUUUGGUAUCUUUUUUUUUUUGGGUAAAUUACAUUUUACCCCCCUGUGAUUUACCCUUUUUUUACAUAACCCCCCUAUGGUUUCAAAAGCUAUACAUAACCCCCUCAUGGUUUGGAUUAAAGUGUCAAAGUAACGGAAAUAGUCACUCGUAACGAAAUUUCUAAAAAUGUCGAAAUUACCCUUAUAAAUACAUGACACAUUAACCCCCUAUGAUUUUUAUAUUUUACCAUAUAACCCCCUUAUGGUUUAAUACUUUACCAUAUAACCCCUUAUGAUUUUCAAAAUAUACACAUAACCCCCCUUGGUUAAUACAUAAAUUUCAACCUUACAUAAGGGUAUUUUUGACAUUUUAGGUGAUGCCGUUACGAGUGACUAUUUCCGUUACUUUGACACUUUAAUCCAAACCAUAAGGGGGUUAUGUAUAGCUUUUGAAACCAUAGAGGGGUCAUGUGAAAAAAUGCUAAACCACAAGGGGGUAAAGUGAAAUUUGCCCUUUUUUUUUAAUUCUAAUUCUUGUUGAAUGUACUAGACUACAUCUACUACACCCAUUAAGCAUGAAGCAUAUAAUUGACAUAAGGUCUAGUGUGUGUCUUGCUGAAAUAAUCAGCGCCCCAUUUGAUUGCCUCAAGAGCUAAUUCAAUUUGUUCCCCAAAUUCAUUAACUCCCCAUGACAACAUUGUAACUGUGAAUGCCAUUGGUAAUCCAAACUUGACAUGGUCACCUGCAUCAUAGUAGCCUCCAACUAAGUCCACCUACAAAUACACAUGUAAAAAGUACGUUACCAAACUGUGAAAGCAUACUAAAAAUCUGUUUUCAAACAACAUAAAUGAUGAACCAAAAUUCAAAUUCUUGAAGAAAAAUACAACUGAAACUGAACAUUCUGAGUAAUACCCCUUGUUCUAAUCCAUCUGUUAGGCCAGAAUGGUGACGCCGAGAGGCUCUUUGGUUGUACGGUAAGCGAGCGGACCUCUGUGCUUCAAAGUACAAAAGGGAUUUUGAAAGUGCAUCUGCAUAAUCAAAUGCUUGAGAUGGGGUACUAAACAUGGUAAAAAGCAUGAGCAAAACAGAGCAAUGCAGGGGAAAUCUUAACCCCUAUCAUUAACUUUUUUUUUUUUUGAGAUUAAAACUUUAUCUGCUUAUAGACUCCUUGACCGAUUCAUCACUUUCUCUCUUAAUCUUUAUUAUUAUGUUAAUUGACUAAUGGGUUUUGUUAUCUAUGGAAUUUUUUUAUUUUAGGGUCAAACAAUAGGUACAUAGAUAAGUUUUACAUAAUGUUUUAAAACUGAACUUGUACCUCACAGUUGAACUAUAGACACAAUUGUUUUUGAGUUCAGUUAAACUUCAAACCCAGAAUAGUAUAAAAAAAAAAGAAAAAAAUAACCACUCUAAAUUAUAAAAAUAUCCCCAGUCCCUGAGGAUACGACUUACUUGCUCUAUAUACAAAUUAUAGAUUCCUCGUGAAUAAAUUCUGGUAUAUCGGGUUAAGCAAACUUUUCGAAAUCAGGGUGAAUCAAGUAACUCAUUGCACAUCUAAAGUUUCUGCUCCAGUACUAGAAUUGACACGAAACUAUUUUGCUGGUACUUAUGAUAAUUAUUAUUAUUGCACAGGCAUCGACAACCUUUCAAAACAUGCUAAAACCAACUUUGUAUGCGGUUGAUUAAUCCUCUCAGACGUAUAAAUUAUUUAUCACCCAAAAGAUAGAGGAGGACUAGGCACUCACAAUCCGGCUACUCUAAUUAAAGCAACUCUUCCAAAAGCGAGAUGGAAUUUGCUCACAAUGGAUGAUUCGUCUUGGAAAAGGGUCCUUCAAGCAAAGUAUUGUCAUCUCACGUUUCUCUCACGUGGUUGAAAUUUGGCUGGAGGAAUGAUAUCGGUCUGGUUGUGGUUGGAUCUUGAUUGGGAAAUAACGUUCUAAGUAACAGUGCUGCAUUUGUGACAUUGGCCCAAAUGCUCAAUAGCUGAGUCCUCUCAAAUAAGACCAUAUCCUUUCAUAGACACAUGAAAUGUGUAUAUUAAUUUACAGCAAAAGUUGAUUCAUCAUUCAAGAUGCAUUCAGAGUUGAUGUUCAUGUUGGACAGCCAAUGUUGCUUGGAUGGGAUUUUCCCAAAUUGAAAUGGUGUAAACUUAAUGCUGAUAGGUCCACACUAGAAAACCCAGAGCUUUUGGGUUUUCGUUUGUAGUUAAUAUUAGUCAUGGUACAAGUUUAGUGGUGGAACUAUGGACUCUUUGGAAGGAACUUCAAUUAGCUUGCAAUUUGGGGAUUAAGCAUUUGGAGGUUGAAUCAGACUCUAAAGUAAGGGUGCAUUUAGUCUAUCAUGACAUUUUAAUCUCGUAAGGAAAGUUUGAGAUAAGUCAAGCAGAAAUUGAGAAUGCAAAAUGCAAUUCUUGUACUGAUAUUUCGGUUAAGAUUAGUCUUAAUUUGCAGCGAUUUAAUUAUUAGAAGAUAAUUUGAAAAUUUCUUGUAAUUUUCACAUCUGAUCAAAAAUUUUUCAGAUCUAUUGUUAUGUUAUAUUGUAGGUCUGUUAUUUCUAAUACAUGUUUAAUUUGCCAUUAGAGCAUCGAGAUAAAUCAAAUCGUACUAGAUGAUUUCCUGUAAUUCGUUAAUGAAACUUGAUUUUGUUAUGAAACAAUUAAAAGUAUGGAUGUCCCUUUGUAUUCCUAAGAGCAUUAAUUCUUGAUUUAUGGUUAUAUUAUGUAUAGAAGUUACAAUCCAUAAAUCUAUUCAUGUAGUGGAGAAACCGUUUCAUAGGUUUCUUCAUAUUCUUGUAGUAGUGGGUGUUUAAUAAGAUUGGUGUACUUUUAAUCUUGUAGUACCUAUAUAUAGAGGUACAUUGACACCCUUUGUGAGGACCUUUUGUAUCUUGUUAGAAUAUAAGAAUAUCACUCUCCAUUCCUCUACUCAUUUCCUUCAUAUUUCAAUUCCGAUUAUAGUAUUUCAUUUUAUUAGUUUCACAACACGUUAUCAGCACGAGUUUCUAUUUUUGAGCAAAAGGUGAAAAUGGAGGCUCUACCUUGAACAAAAGUGAAACACAAGAUUUUGCCGAAAUUCUGCUCGCAUUUCUUCAAGUAAAUUCUGAGGUAAAUUUUUGACACAUAAAUUUAUUUCAAUUUCUUAUGACUAACAUUUGAAUGAUUGAAAAAUACAAGUGCCUAUUGUUGAGCAAUCAUUAAACACAAAUAUAUACUGUUUGACAUCUUUGAGGUAAUAUUUCUCCUUUUAAUUCUACUUAUUUAUCUUUGGAAUUAUUUGUUAUAAAUACUUAUAUUCUGAUGCAUUGAAUUUUGGAGAUGCUAUUAUAGAAAAUCAAUUAUAUUUGAGAAUCUAUUUGUCCUUUGAAAUAUUUAAAGAAAAAGAUUCGACCACCUGAAGAUGGUCGUUCUUUAACAAAAAUAUUUGGCCACUAGAAGAUGGUCAUUAUUUCAAAAGUUUGGUAUGAUAAAUUUACCUAUGGCUAAAAGAACAUAAUUCUGCAAUUUUCAGAAUUACUUCUCAGUUGAAAUUGUGUCGAAAAAAUUUUACUUAUAAGAUAUAUUGAAAAUGAUAUUUUCCACAAUUGAUUUCUCUAAUAUGCUCCUGUAGUAGCAAUAUUAAGAGAAAUUUUGAGAAAUAUUUUGUACUUAUUGCAUGCUAAUUCUAGUCUAUUCCCAGAAGUGAAUGUGACUAAAUUUCAAUUUACUAGUUAUGGUUGAUGCCAUGACUAUGAUUUUGGUAAAUAUGUAUUUUACCAUGACAAGAGAAAAAGUUACCACUUGAAGUGGGAUAAUAAUAAUAAGGACAAGAAAAUAAAGGCCCUAAAGACAAAUGUCCCGAAGUACAUUUGACAAAUAAAAAUUAUAAUAGCAUUUUCACAUGAUAAAUAUUCUUCGCCAAUUGCACUGAAAUAUGGUACUUCAGGACCAAGUAUCUCUUCAUUUUUCUCUCGAGGUCUAAAAGAAUCCUUAUUAGGAUCUAAUGAUCUGACAAUCAUUGGAGUACUUAAUAUAUGUGCCUUAUCCAUAUAAAGCCUCUUUAAUACCUUCCGGGUAUAAGCAGUUUGGUGGACAAAAAUUUCACUUUUCAAAUGCUCAAUUUGUAAAUUAAGGUAGAAUUUUGUUUUUCCAAAAUUCUUGAUCUCAAAAUCCUUCUUCAAAUAUUCAAUAUUAUUUUGAAUCUCUUCAGGAGUUCCAAUCAAAUUUAGAUAGUCAACAUAUACAGUAAUUAUCACAAAAUUUGAUCCACUUUUCUUGAUAAAAACACAUGGACAUAUUGGAUCAUUGCUCCACUUCUUUCUCUAAUAUCUCUAUUCAUACUAUAAUAAAUAAUUUUUUCCAGAAAUAUCAAGAGGUACAAACUCUUGUUUUGUAAGAUUAGCCAUAAGAAAUUGAAAUAAGAUUUUGAUUUAGAAAUUUACCUCAAAAGUCACUUGAAGAAAUACGAGCAGAAUUUCGGUAAAAUCUUGUGUCGUGGUGUAGUUGGUUAUCACGUCAGUCUAACACACUGAAGGUCUCCGGUUCGAGUCCGGGCGACGCCAAAACCAAAACUAUUAUUGUGUCCGUAAAUCAUUCUCCAAAAAAAAAAAUUUAAAAUUUAUGUCGGGUAUGAAUCAUCUUUUACGAUUAAAUAUCGUAAAAUAUUGAUGGGUGAUCUAUUAAAUGAUUUAUUAUUCUGAUGAACUACGAUUCCCGAUAUUAGGGGGAGGAAAAAAAUCAAUCGAAAGGAAAUCAUCUGAAAAAUUGGAUUUCCUCGAUCCUCAUACAAAAUAAUGUGAACUAGAAGUUCAAUAAAUUAUUCAUUUGCAGAAAACUGCAAACCAAUUGUUAGAUAUAUUAUCGACUCCAGAAGAGUUAUUAAAUCAACUAUUCCUGCAGGAAAUAUUCUGGUUAAAAUUGAUGUCCCUGAAGGACAUGCACAAGUGCUACAAAUAAAUUUAAGACCGGUCUUCCUAAAUAAGGUAUAAAUUGAUUUCAAAUAUCUCCGGAGAUUAAAUGUCAUGACAAAAUUCAACUUCUUGAAGAGGUCGCUCCCGAAGAGCCAACUCCUGAAGAGAAUGAAAUCAUAGAAAAUUUAAUUAGAGCCUAAUGAAAUAUAGCACUUGAUAUUAUAGAAGUUGAUGAGGAUCAUGAACCUAUAUCGAUUGAUGAAUGUCGGUAUAGAAAUGAUUGGGCAAAGUGGAAAGAUGCGAUCAAAUCUAAAUUGGAUUUAUUGAUUAAAAGAAAAGUUUUUUGACUUGUAGUCCAAACACCUGAAGGUGUAAAGUCAGAAGAAUAUAAAUGGGUAUUUGUGAUAAAGAGAAAUGAGAAAAAAGAAAUUGUGAGACUUGUAACCCAAGAAUUUUUACAAAGGUUUGGAUUUGAUUAUGAUGAAACGUAUUCACCUGUAGUGGAUGCUAUCACAUUUAGAUAUCUUGUGAGUUUUGCAGUACAUGAAAAAUUAAAUAUGCGUCUAAUAGACGUUAUUACUGCAUAUUUAUGUGAAAAUCUUUUUUUUUUUGUUUUUCUUUGAACAAAUCCUCCUUGAAAUAUAUUCCAUAGAACCUUUGAGUUGGUAUCCAGAUAAUACCCCAAAAGAUCAAGCUAAAUACCAUAAAAUAAAAAUCAAAAGAAUUAUCAAACCCGAUGAUUGGCCUGUGUCAGGCUAUCAAACCCAAAUCUAGUUCUUAACUCCAAAUAAACCUGCAGUUUAUACUUAUUAUGACUAUUUUUUUUUUACUUGAAGUUUUUAUUUUAUUAUAGCAAAUCCACGAACCCAACAAAUGGGAGUACAUGCAUAUUCAAACGACUACGGUCUAACCCUUCUAACCAUAGGCAUCCCCCAAGCAUCCAUUUGACAAUCCCCUCUAACCAACAAUGGAAGAAAAGCCAACGUCUCAUAAACCCUAUCAGAGCCAGAGUCAGCUCCAACAUUAGACAAUCUGUCAGCCACCCUAUUGACCUCUCUAAAACAAUGAGUCACCGCAUGUAAAUGAUGCCGGAAUGUAAUCAGCUCCUCAAACUCUCGUCGCAAAAACCAAGGAACCCUGAGCUCCCCUCGCACCAUCCGGACCAAAAGCAAAGAAUCAGACUCCACAUGAAUAGGAAUAAUGCCGCGUUGCACACACAGCUUCACCCCAUAUAGCAUAGCUCUUAGUUCUGAAUGCAAACUAGUCACAUCGCCAGAAAAGCAAGAGAAAGCAAAGACAAAGCACCCCGCCGUAUCCCGCAAAAUACCACCCCCGCCAGAUGUACCAGGAUUACCCCUCAAACAACCAUCAACAUUCAAUUUGGGAAGGGGAAUAGGAGAAGUCCUCCAUUUCACCCAACGUACCGUACUCGCUCUACGACACCUAUAAGCCAACCCAAUAAGCUCCUCCCAAGACAACCUAUGACCCGCCAGGCAAGGAAAGCGGGAAGAGAGAAUAUCUCGGAGCUCCCCCACAACCCUCAAAUGAAUGAGAUGGGAGGAAAUUCCCUUACCUUCAAAAACCAUCAAAUUCCGAGCCCUCCAAAGGUGCCAGCAAACCAAACAAGAAAGAAAUUGAAAAAUCAACCGCAAACAAGGAUUAGAUGUGGGAUGAAGCCACCAUACCGCCAGCGCAUGCCGCACCGUGGAAACACAGGAACGCCCACCCACCCCACUUGUAUGUGAAAAUCUUGAAAAUGAUAUUUAUAUGAGAAUCUCCGAAAGAUUCAACAUGUCUGAAGCAUGCAAAUCAAAUCCUAAAAAUAUUUAUUUUAUUAAAUUACAAAGGUCUCUGUAUGGGUUCAAACAAUCUGGAUGUAUGUGGUAUAACCGUCUCAAUGAAUGUCUGACAAAAGAAAGUUAUACCAAUGAUCCAAUAUGUUCAUGUGUUUUUAUUAAGAAAAAUGGAUCAAAUUUUGUGAUAAUUGCUGUAUAUGUUGAUGAUCUAAAUUUGAUUGGAACUCCUGAAGAGAUUCAAAAUAAUGUUGAAUAUUUGAAGAAGGAUUUUGAGAUCAAGAAUUUUGGAAAAACAAAAUUCUACCUUGAUUUACAAAUUGAGCAUUUGAAAAGUGAAAUUUUUAUCCACCAAACUGCAUAUACCCAGAAGGUAUUAAAGCGGUUUUAUAUGGAUAAGGCACAUAUAUUAAGUACUCCAAUGGUUGUCAGAUCAUUAGAUCCUAAUAAGGAUCCUUUUAGAUCGCAAGAGGAAGAUGAAAGAGAUACUUGGUCCUGAAGUACCAUAUUUCAGUGCAAUUGGCGAAGAAUAUUGGAAUGCGAUGAUUAAAAGAUCUCAAAUAAUGUUUGCAUCAGAGGGAGAAAUUAAUACACAAGAAUAGUGUACUCUUUUUCCUUCAUUAGGAUUUUUGUCCCGAUGGGUUUUUCCCUAGUAAGGUUUUAACGAGGCAUAUUCUUUGUGUAAUGGACAUCCAAGGGGGAGUGUUAUGAAACAAUUAAAAGUAUGGAUGUCCCUUUGUAUUCCCAAGACGAUUAAUUCUUGAUUUAUGGUUACAUUAUGUAUAGAAGUUACAAUCCAUAAAUCUAUUCAUGUAGUGGAAGAACCGUUUCAUAGGUUUCUUCAUAUUCUUGUAGUAGUGGGUGUUUAAUAAGAUUAAUGUACAUUUUAAUCUUGUAGUACCUAUAUAUAGAGGUACAUUGACACCCUUUGGAAGUACUUUUGUAUUUUGUUGGAAUACAAGAAUAUCAUUCUCUAUUGCUCUACUUUUCCUCUAAUAUCUCUAUUCAUACUAUAGUAGUUUAUUAGUUUUACAACACGUUAUCAGCACGAUAUAUAGAGGUACAUAUAUCAGCACGAUAAGGCACAUAUAUUAAGUACUCCAAUGAUUGUCAGAUCAUUAGAUCCUAAUAAGGAUUCUUUUAGACCUCGAGAGAAAAAUGAAGAGAUACUUGGUCCUGAAGUACCAUAUUUCAGUGCAAUUGGCGAAGAAUAUUUGGAAUGCAACGAUUAAAAGAUUUCAAAUGAUAUUUGUAUCAGGGGGAGAAAUUAUUACACAAGAAUAGUGUACUCUUUUUCCUUCACUAGGGUUUUUGGCCCUACUAGGUUUUUCCCUAGUAAGGUUUUAACGAGGCAUAUUCUUUGUGUAAUGGACAUCCAAGGGGGAGUGUUAUGAAACAAUUAACAGUAUGGAUGUCCCUUUGUAUUCCUAAGAGCAUUAAUUCUUGAUUUAUGACUAUAUUAUGUAUAGAAGUUACAAUCCAUAAAUCUAUUCAUGUAGUGGAAAAACCGUUUCAUAGGUUUCUUCAUAUUCUUGUAGUAGUGGGUGUUUAAUAAGAUUGGUGUACUUUUAAUCUUGUAGUACCUAUAUAUAGAGGUACAUUGACACCCUUUGUGAGGACCUUUUGUAUCUUGUUAGAAUAUAAGAAUAUCACUCUCCAUUCCUCUACUCAUUUCCUUCAUAUUUCAAUUCCGAUUAUAGUAUUUCAUUUUAUUAGUUUCACAACAGAUUUUUAUUAAAAAAAAAAUUUGGCAUUAAUUUGCAACUUGGUGUUACUCGAAUUACCAAAAGAUGCUGAUAAGUCGUCAUUAUCAUCCGAUGUGGCUGCUGCAACUCACAAUUAACAAUUAGCCUUCAGUUUCGACUUAAGCCUCCCUCCCAAAAAAAAAAAAAAGAUUGAUCUCCCAUUUAUUGUAGAGUGUAUGAUUAAUUAAGCUUUAAUCAAAUGAAAAGUCAAUGUUUUGUAUAGAAGCAAGUACAUUCAAUCAUUGGGGGAAAGGGGAGAGGAGAGACGGGUUAUGUUGGAUGAUACGAAGGGAGAGAAUGUUAGUGAGAGAUAUUAGGUUCAAAACUUCCUACUUAUGCUAAAAGUAAAUUAAAGAAAAAGGUACGUUCAUAAAAAUAAGGGAUAAUUUUUGGGUACUAAAAAUACUUUUGAGACAUUUGGUGAAUAUUAUUCCAUAAAAAUUAGGAGUGAAAUUUUUGAUGUUAAAAGCACUUUUAGUAAGAAUUCAAACAGAUACUUUUAGAAUAGCUUUUGUGUUUUAAAAAAUAAAAUAAUAAAUUUAAUUAUUUUAUCCUAUAUUAUGAGCUAAAUAAAGAGAUAAAUAUAUUUUAAAAUUUCAAAUUACACAUUAUCCAAUACAAUAAGUACUUAUUCAAUUAUGUAUCCAAAUAAUAUACUUAAGCAUACUUAAACAUUUGAUAAGUACUUUUAUUAAAAACUCUAUUAAUAAAAUACUUUUCAAUUAAAAGGAUGGUGCAUAUCUUUCUUUAGAGCCUUUUUUUCUUCGGAGUUCUGAUAUAUUGAUUUCUUUAGCCCUGCCAUUUGGUAUUUCUACUACAAUACAACACAGUAAAAGGAUGGGAUAUGCAAACAAGUCCACGGAAGAAACUUCCAAAGCAUAUUUUAGACGUGACAAAUACUUUAAAGAGCUAUCUGAUUUCCUUUCCAUAGUUGAUUUCACUUCACGACAAUCCAAUAGUUUGCCUGGUCAUUUGGCAUUUGCACCUUUUAUCUAAUAGUUUUGGUUUAACAAUCAAUUUCUCUAGCAUUUUCAAAUUUUAGAUGUCAUUUCCUUAUUUGUUAGCUCUUUGUAGGCUGCUCAGGGUGACAAAGGCUGGUGGAAAAUCAAUCCCGAUGCUUUUGGGAGUUCCUAUAUUUUCUGAUCCUUGGGGUGGUCAUAAUAUGAUUGGUUUCUGGGGAACAUUUUGGUUAUUUCCUUUGCACAUAGUUAUCCUUUUCGUUUUCAUACGACCUUAUGAACAGUAAUCAUUGUUGCGAUGCCUUUGCAGUAUGCUGCAUUGGCGUUUUCAUUUGGCUAAUAUAUUUUAUAUAAGGGAUUAUUUUAGAAACGUCUCACAGUUCUAGUGCUCUCUUCUAACGUUUUAAAAGUUUUACUUAUCUCCCCUGUCAGUCAUUUAGAAUCCAAUGCUUACAUCAUUAAUGAUCAAAUGGCUAUAAUACCCUUAUAAUUUUGGAUAUUUUACACAUGUAAAGAGAAAGAGUUAAAUGUGCGGUGACUACAUCAACCAUAAUUUGGAUUGUAAAAGGUUUAUUAAUUUGCCGUCUAAAAAUAGAGUCAAUACUAGCUAUUGUUAUGAAACAAUUAAAAGUAUGGAUGUCCCUUUGUAUUCCUAAGAGAAUUAAUUCUUGAUUUUAUGGCUACGUUAUGUAUAGAAGUUACAAUCCAUAAAUCUAUUCAUGUAGUGGAGAAACCGUUUCAUAGGUUUCUUCAUAUUAUUGUAGUAGUGGAUGUUUAAUAGGAUUUAUGUACCUUUAAUGUUGUAGUGCCUAUAUAUAGAGGUACAUUGACACCCUUUUGGUAAGGACUUUUGUAUCUUGUUGAAAUAUAAGGAUAUCAUUCUCCCUUUCUCUACUCCUUCUCUAAUACUUCUUCAAUUCCUAUUGUAGUAUCUUCAUUUUAUUAGUUUUAUAACACGUUAUUAGCACGAGUCUCUAUUUUUGAGCAAAAAGUGAAAACAGAGGCUCUACCUUGAACAAAAGUGAAACACAAGAUUUUGCCGAAAUUCUGUUCGCAUUUCUUCAAGUAAAUUCUGAGGUAAAUUUCUAACUCACAAACUUAUUUUAAUUUCUUAUGGCUAAUAUUUGAAUGAUCGAAAAAUAUAAGUGCCUAUUGCUGAGCAACCAUUAAACACACAUAUAUACUGUUUGACAUCUUUGAGGUAAUAUUUCUCCUUUUAAUUCUACUUAUUUAUCUUUAAAAUUAUUUGUUAUAAAUACUUAUAUUCUGAUGCAUUGAGUUUUGGAGAUGCUAUUAUAGAAAAUCAAUUAUAUUUGAAGAUCUACUUGUCCUUUGAAAUAUUUAAAGAAACAGAUUCGACCACCUGAAGAUGGUUGUUUUUUAACGAAAAUAUUUGGCCACUAGAAGAUGGUCAUUAUUUCAAAAGUCUGGUAUGAUCAAUUUACCUGUGGCUACAUGAACAUAAUUAUGCAAUUUUCAGAAUUACUUCUCAAUUGAAAUUGUGUCGAGAAAAUUUUAUUCAUAAGAUAUAUUGAAAAUGAUACUCUCCAUAAUUGAUUUUUCAAAUAUGCUCCUGUAGUAGCAAUAUUGAGAGAAAUUUUGAGAAGUAUUUUGCACUUAUUGCAUGCUAAUUCUAGUCCAUUCCCAGAAGUGAAUACUAAAUUUCAAUAGUUAUGGUUGUUGCCAUGAUUAUAAUUUUGGUAAAUAUAUAUUUUACCAUGACAAGAGAAAAAAAGUACCACUUAAAGUGGGAUAAUAAUGAUAAGGACAGGAAAGUAAGGUCCUAAAGAUAAAUGUCCCGAAGUACAUUUGACGAAUCAAAAUUAUAAUAGCAUUUUCACAUGGCAAAUUUCUUUAAACGCCCUGAAGGUGUAUGAUGAUUGAUUUAAUUUAUGAUAGUAAUUGACUUUUCUUCUUGAAGAAGAAAUGGAUGUUAAAUAUUUGGGAUCAAAGGAUUAUGGUGAUGAUAUUUGUCCCAUAAGAAUUAUGGUGACAAUGAUAUGUGUCUCAUUAACAAGUGCUACUAUAUACACUAUAUUCCAAUUAGAGAGACGAACACAAUCAGUUGUAGUGUUUAAGUGAUUGAAAGCUCCAGAAGAGCCACUACUAUAUUUCUCCCUGUAGGAGAAAAGUAUAUCAUAAAUAAAGCACUAUUUUUUACUAUGUCUCGAAGAAAUUUAUUGAAUUUGAAUAUCCAUCGAAAUGGAUAUCAAAUUGAGACACUAAAUGAGAUAAUAAUAUAAUUAUGUUUAGAAACAAAUGAGAUAAAGGUUAAUUAUAUCAUAAUAACCAUUCGAGAGAGAAAUGGUUAUCGAUAUAGUUGUCUUCAUUCUCAUUUGAUUUAUAAUCAUCACCUACAGUAAACCAGAAGUUUACUGAUCCCAACGGAUAUAUGAUUUGACAAAAGUGAGAAUAUUUGAGAGCCGACAAGUAUUUAUACAUACCCCCUUUAUAUUAUAUAUGGCUCCAAAAGAAAUUUAAAAUUUAUGUCGGAUAUGAAUCACCUUUUAUGAUUAAAUAUUGUAAAAUAUUGAUGGGUGAUCUAUUGAAUGAUUUAUUUAUUCUGAUGAACUACGAUUCCUGACAUUAGGGGGAGAAAAAAAUCAAUCGAAAGGAAAUCAUGUGAAAAAUUGGAUUUCCUCGAUUCUCAUACAAAAUAACGUGAACUGGAAGUUCAAGAAAUUAUUCAUUUGCAGAAAAUUGCAAACCAGUUGUCAGAUAUAUUAUCGACUCCAGAAGAGUUAUUAAAUCAACUAUUCCUGCAGGAAAUACCUUGAUUAAAAUUGAUGUCCCUGAAGGACAUGCACAAGUGCUACAAAUAAAUUUAAGGCCGGCCUAUCUAAAUUAGGUAUAAAUUGAUUUCAAAUAUCUCUGGAGAUUAAAUAAAUGUCAUGACAAAAUUCAACCUCUUGAAGAGGUCGCUUCUGAAGAGUCAGCUCCUGAAGAGCCAACUCCUGAAGAGAAUGAAAUCAUAGAAAAUUUAAUUGGAGCCUAAUGAAAUAUAGCACUUGAUAUUAUAGAAGUUGAUGAGGAUCAUGAAUCUAUAUUGGUUGAUGAAUGUCGGUAUAGAAAUGAUUGUUCAAAAUGAAAAGAUGCGAUCCAAUCUGAAUUGGACUCACUGGCUAAAAGAAAGGUUUUUGGACCUGUAGUCCAAACACCUGAAGGUGUAAAGCCAGUAGGAUAUAAAUGGGUAUUUGUGAGAAAAAAAAUGAGAAAAAUGAAAUUGUGAGAUAUAAAGCAAGACUUGUAGCUCAAGGAUUUUCACAAAGGCCUGGAUUUGAUUAUAAUGAAACGUAUUCACCUGUAGUGGAUACUAUUACAUUUAGAUAUCUUGUGAGUUUUGCAGUACAUGAAAAAUUAGAUAUGCGUCUAAUGGACGUCGUUACUGCAUAUUUAUAUGGGAAUCUUGAAAAUGAUAUUUAUAUGAGAAUUUCCGAAGGAUUCAACAUGCCUGAAGCAUGCAAAUCAAAUCCUAAAAAUAUUUAUUCUAUUAAAUUACAAAGGUCUUUGUAUGGGCUCAAAUAAUCUGGACGUAUGUGGUAUAACCGUCUCAAUGAAUGUCGGACAAAAGAAAGUUAUACCAAUGAUCUAAUAUGUCCAUGUGAACAAGAUACAAAAGUCCAUGUGUUUUUAUUAAGAAAAAUGGAUCAAAUUUUAUGAUAAUUGCUGUAUAUGUUAAUGAUCUAAAUUUGAUUGGAACUCCUGAAGAGAUUCAAAAUAGUGUUGAAUAUUUGAAGAAAGAAUUUGAGAUCAAAGAUUUUGGAAAGACAAAAUUCUGUCUUGAUUUACAAAUUGAGCAUUUGAAAGGUGGAAUUUUUGUCCACCAAACUGCUUAUACCCGGAAGGUAUUAAAGCGAUUUUAUAUGGAUAAGAAAUAUAUAUUAAGUACUCCAAUGGUCGUCAGAUCAUUAGAUCCUAAAAAGGGUCCUUUUAGAUCGCAAAAGAAAGAUGAAGAGAUACUUGGUCCUGAAGUACCAUAUUUCAGUGCAAUUGGCGAAGAAUAUUGGAAUGCGACGAUUAAAAGAUCUCAAAUAAUGUUUGCAUCAGGGGGAGAAAUUAAUGCACAAGAAUAGUGCACUCUUUUUCCUUCACUAGGGUUUUUGUCCCGAUGGGUUUUUCCCUGGUAAGGUUUUAACGAGGCAUAUUCUUUGUGUAAUGGACAUCCAAGGGGGAGUGUUAUGAAACAAUUAAAAGUAUGGAUGUCCCUUUGUAUUCCUAAGAGGAUUAAUUCUUGAUUUUAUGGCUACAUUAUGUAUAGAAGUUACAAUCCAUAAAUCUAUUCAUGUAGUGGAGAAACCGUUUCAUAGGUUUCUUCAUAUUAUUGUAGUAGUGGAUGUUUAAUAGGAUUUAUGUACCUUUAAUGUUGUAGUGCCUAUAUAUAGAGGUACAUUGACACCCUUUGGUAAGGACUUUUGUAUCUUGUUGAAAUAUAAGGAUAUCAUUCUCCCUUUCUCUACUCCUUCUCUAAUACUUUUUCAAUUCCUAUUGUAGUAUCUUCAUUUUAUUAGUUUUAUAACAGCUAUAUCUUUUUCAAUUUUUAUAUACUUGACAAAUAAAAGAAAUUAGACAUAAUGCACUUGAUAAAUUAAAGGAUUUAGACAUGAGAAACAAUUAAGACAUUUACAAAGUAAAUUAACCAUAAUUUGAACUGUAAAAAGGAAAAUCUAAUUUGGCAUAUAAAAAGAGAUCCAAUACUAGGCAUCCUUUUCCUAUUUAUGUACUUGACAAAUAAAGGAAUAAAAUAAAAAGAGAUAUCACUUGGGCUAAUUUUUCUUAUAAUUGUGGUGAUAACAAGAAUCUUAAGGUAUAGAAAAAAAAAUUUAUUUCUUUAAAUCUUGAAAGUUGUUAUUUUUUGUUAUGGAUGAUAGAAAGUUUUUGUUGAUCAUAUGUAGUAAUGGCCCAAUAAGCGAAUUAACAAGUUAUAUCAAAUAUUCAAUCUAACUAGCAUAAUAGUUGAGUGGCACUUUUGGCAUAAACAAAUCAUCUCACACCUGAAAACCAUAAAAUUGGAUUGAAAUUCUUUUACGGUGGCAUCAUUUUUUUUUGUUGAAUUUAUUAUAGUUCUUAAUGAAUGUACUAAAUUGUAUCUGCUACACUCAGCAAGCCUGAAGCAAAUGAAAUAGUCAACAGAAGGAUCCAACGAAUCGUUAAAAGAUCCAAUGAAAUUAUAAAGAAAAGCUCCAUGAAUUAGAAAUACCUGUUUUGAAGUUGCAUUCCAGAGAGAAUCAAUUACAAAGUAUUAUUCCCACCGCUAUGAACUAAAUGGACUUAAAAUAAGACUCAAACUAAACUACAAAUAAAGAGAAACUAAUUGAAAACUGCUAUUGACGAAAAGAGAAAAAAUGAUAUGAAGAAUGAGUGGUUGUUGUUGUUGACAAGUGUGUAUUCUUUUUCUGAUCGCGUUCUCAGUCUUUAUACGAACAUAUCAAUGAAUUUGCCUCCAAUUUUGAGAUGGGAAUUUUAUCUCCUUAUAAACUCCUUAACGAUUCAUCAUUUUUUCCCUUAUGACAAUAAUUAUCUUUUGGCCUUUUUGUUUUAGGCCUAACAGUAUGUACAGAGAAGUUCUACGCAAUGUUUUAAAGCCCAGUUUGGACCAUCCGGUUGAAGCAUCAACACUAUUAUUUCUGAGUCGGAUUAAACUUCAAACAUAGAGGAAUAAAAAAGCCUCUACAAAUGAAAAUGAAUUGGUUUGCCUGGUUGAACCAGUGAAUCAUCGAACUGAAAUGGUUCUUACUAAACUACCCCCAGCCUUACCACUCUUAAAAAGCUGAAGAGAGAGAGAGAGAGAGAGAGAGAGAGAGAGAGAGAUUAGAAUCUCUUCCAAGAGAAGAAAAACGGUGCCUAGGAGUACAAGACAAUCAGGACUUGUAAUAAAUUUUUUUCUAUUAAAUCAUCAUACUUAUUUUAGGGUUUUAAAACUAUCUUAUAUUUGAGUAACUGACAGGUGUCGAGCCUGUGUAAUAAUAAAUAUCUGCUUAAAUAAAGUAUAAAUUUUGUAUACAGUGGUAAGUAGGGUCGAAUCUACAAGAAUUGGAAAAAUUCGUUUCUCAUCGAGUUCAAAGUAUGAGAGAUUUUUAUAGAAUCGAGAAUAAUCAAAUAACUCAAAUAAAAUAAAUAAAUAAAAACUGAAUGACAAUUUAUUAAAAUUGAAUCAAGAAUAACUAAGCUCUAGACAAGAAAUAACUUCGGAGAUGAUUCACUCAAUUGAUCAUCGAUGCAAUGAUAAUUUCAUUUAUUCACUGAUAAACAAGUUAUAACUGCCAAACACGCGAUGACAAUUAACUUUUCUUACUGUAUCGGUGACCAAGGUACGACCGUUAAUCGCUUCCUUAAUCAAGAAAUAAUUCUAAGUAUGACCAUAUAGUUCAAUUUCUCAAUUACCUUAAGAAUUAGAGAAGCUCUGUUCUAACCAAAUAACACACUACGAGGGUUAUUUUAAAUUAACCCAUAUAUUUCCUCUAACACAAAUCCAAUCAUGCCAGUCAUCACUAAUUUAAAGCAAUUAAAUAAUUACAUAUUUAACUGUUCUAACUGGUUUUAGGUUAUUAGAUUAAAUUAAAUAUCGGGCACCUUUGAUAUUCAAAAAAAAUAAUAAUCAUAAGAAAUUAAAUUAGAGAACAUACAAAUAGUCGAAUACUAGUAAAAAAAGAAAUAAAAAUAUUUAAUUUGAUCUUACAAUUUUAAAUGAACUAAAUCCUCCAUUAUUCUUUGAUUAGAAAAAAAGUCUAGUUCGUCUCCGUUAAGAAAGUCCCAUGCAAAAUUGCAGAAUUAAUUGUUGAAAGCAUUCCUCUACCAUUCGGAUGAAGGUUUUGCGAUGAAUAAUAAAAGAAAAAGUCGUCUCUCGCCCUCUGUUGCGGCCGACCCCGCCAAAAAGCAAAAGAUAAGCAAACCUAUUCUAAGUUGACUUCUCUUAUGACUAGUCAUCCACCGCCACACAAGAAAGGAAAGGUAUCUAAUUGAUUAGUUUCCUAUUCUUACUAAACCACUAUUGCUAAUUCAAAUCAAUUUAGAAAGUCUAUAACAAAUCAUACCGAUUAGUAUUUUUUUGCUUUUUAUUCAAAUCUCUGCAACUAGCACAAAUGACCGAAAGUAAAUAAAAUUUGCCAAUUAACGCAAUAUUUCGUAAGAUAAAAGAGGGAAACAGUUAUAAAAUUAAUGAUUAAAUUGCAACAUAUCAGCAACAUUAAUUUUGUGUCAUUUCACCUUUUUAAAAUUACAAUUUAGCUCUAAAUUAUUUAUAAAUUUUAAAAUUUCUUACAAACUUUCGUGUUUCUUAUCACUAAAUCAUUUUAAAAAAAAAUUGUCUGAGUAGCAACUUAAUUUAUAUGACUUUCCAAUAGUUAUUCAAAAAUUUAUGUUUAUAUCAUUAGAAUUUCAUGUUUUAUUAAAGUUAGGUUCUUCUUCUUUUUUUCUUUUGUCAUGAUUGGUGCAAGGUAACUGUCUUCUUUGUUUUUGGAUUUGUUGUAAUUGUCAAAGUAGAAUUAUUCAGUCUAUAUUGCAUUGUUAUUUUCAUCGAUGAUUCUGGGCUUGCUUCUCAUCUUGUGGCUUUGUUGAAGGGAUAGGUUGGGCUUCUUCAUGUGAAUUUGGUCUAUUAAUUGGGCUUCUUGAUGUUCGACAGCCUCUUUUGGUUGGAUGGAAUUUUGUAAACUUAAUUCGGCUAUUGAGUUUUGCAAAUUGAAAAUAGUGCUAAAGAAAAAAGAAAAACACGAAGCAUAAAUUAACAUUCCAAAGAAAACUUAUAAAACUAAGACCUGGCUAUUGAGUUUUUGGUUUUGCAAUUAAUAAUGGGCUUUGGAAGAGACUUCGACAAACGUGGGAUUCGGGGAUUAAGCAUUUGGAGGUUGAGUCAAACUCUAAAGCAAGGGUCCAUUUAGGCCAUUUUAGUCUCUUAUUGAAAGUUUCGAAAUUUCCUAAGCAGAAAUUGAAAGUGCAAACGUAAGAUUAGUUUUUGUCUGCAACUUGGUGUUAUUCUUUUAUCAAAUUCACCAGAUGCAAAUAAUUCGUCCUUAUCAUCCAAUGUGAUAAGAAAAAUUAAAAAAAGAAAAGAAAAAUUCCAUUCUGCUGAUGCAUGAUAGUGAUAUGUAGCAAGAGAGAGAGAGCCGGGGGAGGGAUUGAUGGGGCACCGCAGUCUGCAUUUAAUAGGAGGCAAGAUACCUGCAAAAACCAGAAACAUCAUCCAAGUUCAACAUAUCCAGUUCACCUAUUAAUUUAACAUGGAGAAGAAGUUCACAUGGCCUACAUUGAGGAUCAACAUGUAGAUAUCAACCUGGAAAUAAUGAGCAUUGUUGGCCUACAUUGAGGAUCAACAUGUAGACAUUCUCUUGCUAGUUUGAGAAUGGACAUCAGACACUUUUCAAUUUGUUGAUUGGGAUACAGAAGUCUUUGGUCUAGCAAGUCUUUUAAUUCUAUGUCUUCAAGCUUUGAAGACAUUAGAUUAGCAAUCAAGUCGCCAGGAUGCUUUCCUUUGAGUACUUCCACUGUCAGGACCCCAUAGCUAUAAACGUCACACCUUUCGUUAACUUUCAUUGUGUAGGCAAAUUCUGCAAGAGAAAGUUGGAAAAUGAUUUUUCAUGUUAUGUGAUCAUACUUGAAUUUACGAGUUAACAAACUAAUGACAGGAAAGGGGGAAAAAAGAACUUUAUUACCCGGUGCAACAUAUCCAUAUGUGCCUGCAAGAGAACUCCAGUUAGAUGAGUCUCUUCUGAGAAACUUGGAAGUGCCAAAAUCUGAAACGUGAGCCUCACAUUCUGGAUCAAGCAAAAUGUUGUUGCUUGAUAUGUCUCGGUGUACAAUUGGUGGUGAACAAUCAUGAUGCAUGUAAGAUAAAGCAUGAGCGACGCCUUUGAUGAUAUUCAGCCUCUUUUGCCAGUCUAGUUCCUUAGCUGCUUCUUCUAUGCUCAAGAUUUUGGCCAAGCUUCCUCUUUUGAGGUACUCAUAAACCAAAAUUGAAUGCUGAGCAUUUGAGCAGAAGCCAAAGAGUUUCACAAUGUUCCGAUGCUUGAUUUCUGUCAAGGCCCUGAUCUCAUUCAAGAAACUUUUAUCCUUUCCCACAUUGGGUACGUUAUGAAGUCUCUUUACAGCUACUACCUCGCCUGAUGGAAGCUGUGCUUUGUAAACACUUCCACAACCUCCUUUCCCAAUGCAAAAUGUUUCACUGAACUCUUCUGUAGACCUCACGAUUUCUUUAUACAAUGCUUUGCCAUCAUAAGCACAUAUGGCAAAUAAACCGCCCUUCUUCACCUCCAUAUCUUCCGCUCUCGAAUUUCUUUUUCUCCGAUCAUACAAUUUGAGAGUACCGAACAAUGCACCAAGAAGUGUGAAUGAUCCCACAAAAGGCAAUACAAUUAUGAGAACAAGUUCCUUGCUUUUAUCCUUGACAUGCUUUUUAAUCAACCGAGAACUUUCACAGGCUCGUAACCCUGUAAUAUUGCCACACAAACCUUUAUUUCCCUUUACUUCUUCUAAGGUUAGAUUCACAAAAGCUCUACCACUCGGAAUUGGGCCCUCCAAAUUAUUAAAAGAAAGAUUGAUGUGCAAUAAACCAGGCAAAUCUGCCAAAGCCUUUGGGAUCAAACCAGAGAGGUUAUUCCGGGAGAGAUCCAAUGUCCCCAAACUCUGCAAAUUUUGAAACUCAGAUGGUAUCGCUCCUGUGAAGAGAUUUUGACUCAAAUCUAGCUCAGAAAGUUGGGUUAACUUCCCAAUCUGCAAUGGAAUCUUUUGACUUAAAACGUUAUUGCUCAAGUUCAUGUGAAACAAGUGUUUCAAAUCUCCCAGAAGUUCUGGUAAAGUUCCAUUCAAGGAGUUUGUGGACAGGUCUAGAAAUUCCAUUAACACUCCCAAUUCUUGAGGUAUACCACCAGUAAGCUGGUUGUCAUGUAAAUCUAGUUUAAGCAAAGAAGUUAACUUCCUAACUUCUCUCGGUAUCUCCCCUGAUAUAUAAUUCGAAGAAAGAUUAAGUGUAUGUAGUUGAGUCAAAUUUCCAAUUUCUGGAGGUAUACCACCCGUGAUGUUGUUCUUUGCAACUACAAGAGUUUUCAGUAUUUUGCAGUUACCCCAGUUGCUGGAGAGUUUCCCAUAGAAUUUGUUAUUGCUAAGAUCAAUGAAAUCCAGGACUGGAUAGAUUCCAAACAUUUCUGAUAAGUUUCCUUGGAAACGGUUACCAUCAAAACGGGCCCUAACUAAGCUUGAGCAGUUUUGCAAGCUUUUAGGGAUUGGACCAGUAAGCAUGUUCUCAGCUACAGAAAUCUUUUGGAGAAUUCCACUUUGACAUAAUAGUUCCGGCAAUGGACCGGACAACUGAUUUCUAAACAAUUGCAAAUUAACCAACUUACUCAGGUUUCCAAUCUCUUGUGGAAUGGUACCAGAAAAUUGAUUGUUUGGGAGAAACAGUUUUUCCAGGUUAUUCAAGUUACCAAUUGAAACAGGAAUUGAACCAUUAAAUUGAUUGUCAGAGAGAUCCAGUUCAAUCAAAUUACUCAAAUUUCCAAUUGAAACAGGAAUGGAACCAUUGAGUUGGUUCUCACCUAAUUCCAUAUGGGUAAGAAAUUUCAAAUCUCCAAUUUCUUUGGAAAUUGAACCUGAAAUUUGAUUUUCAUAGAGAUAUAGUAUAAUCAAAUUGGUUAAAUUGCCCAGUGACUUUGGAAUUGCACCAGUAAGAUUAUUUUGACACAAGGAAAGAAAUUGAAGUGAGAUCAGAUUCCCCAUCGCCACGGGAAUGGGACCUGAAAGUUGAUUACUUUCAAAAUCUAAAUGAGUCAAGUUUCUCAAGUUGCAAAUUUCAGGCGGGAUUUCUUGUGACAAUUCAUUAGCAUAGAAAUUAAGAUAACUGAGCUUCGACAAGUUACCUAUUUGUUUAGGUAUACUGCCAAAGAUCUGAUUCUGGCUGAGAUCAAGAUAUUCAAGAUUUGGGAGGGAUGAGAAUGGGAAAUCAUAGAGGCUACCUUCAAUGCUCCAAUCUGAAAGGUUCAAUCUGUUGACUCUUCCGUCAAUGCAGGAAAUACCAGCCCAAGUGCAAGGAAGGACAGACGACUUUUUGGCGUUGAUGGAUUGAAGGUUCCAUGAGGUUAGGAAGCUGUUGUUCUGGUUCUGAAAACUGGCUUUCCAUUUCAAAAGAGCAGCAGCCUCUUCAGCAGAAGCUGAAGCUCCACAUUUGGGGUGAAAAGAUGGGAAAUGUAGGAGGACCAAAAGGAAUGUGGAGACUAUUUUGAAAGAACCCAUGAUUACUUUCAAGUUCAACUCAAGUUGGCAGACGCUGUUACUCUGCACCACAAAUGAUGCUAGUAUUUAUCCUAAUGCACAUGGAAGACUUCAGAAGGUCUUCUUGCUCUGUCCCCGCCUUCUUUGUCUUCAUUUAGUUUUGAGAUUGAAACACAUAAGAUGUCUAUUCCAAUGGGUCAAGAAUUUUAAAGCAAUGAAAUUUUAAAUGAGAUUGACCAUUUUUAUCUUCUACCACUAAUUUUUCCUGCUGAAUCUACAGAAAAAGGUGAGUCGUGUACCUCUUGGAGAAGGAACACUUAUCACCUGAUUCCUUAAUGACGAUGAACCUAUUGGCUGAGCAAAUUAUGUUAUAGUUCUAUAUAUUUUCUUGACAUGGAUUACGCAAAGUUACUUGACAGUAUAUUUUCAUGAAAUGCAAUGGAAGUCAGAAAUUGCAGAAAGCUAAUUGCUGAUGUAACGAAUGCGUUGCAAAAUUUUUCCACUUAGAAAGUUAGUUGGGUGCCCUUGAGAUGGUAAAGCAUGCUAGUUCAAUUGAUGAUUCUAUCAUCUGGGGGGAUUCUCCUCCACAUUUUGUACCGUCCACUCUUUAUGUGGACUCCUCAAUUUAUUAAUAUUACAGGCUUUUUUCUAUCAAAAAACAUAUAUUUGAUUUUUAUCCAUAUUGAUAUGUAAAUCAAAAUAAAAAAAAACAUAAAUAUAUUUUAGAUAAUACCAUGUAACGGCAUCAAUAAGUUAUUAUAUAAAUCCAAGGACACAGAACUAUUUGAUAAGGUUCAACUAAAAAUUAUCUUGGGACAGAGCAGUCAUGCUUGUUUUCAAUCAAAUUUGAGCCUUUGAGGCUGGCAAACGUACAAAGGACUUUUACGUAUCCCAGUCUUUAAGGUAUAAAGAUGCAUUGCAGUAUUGCACCGACUCCUUCCUAUCAUGAUUCACGAUGCACCAAUGUGGGGACUGGGGUGGCAGGUAGGGCCACCAACUGCUGAAAUUUUAAAACUCUUAGUUUUUGGAAUUGAAAUUAGGGGAUAAAAGAGUCUAAUCAAACAAGCAUCUUAAUGUUCAAAAUUUUUUAUUAUUUUUAAUAAAUUUGAAAUUGUGCUCAAUAUUGGUUUGUUUAUUUACAGAGCUGAAAUUAAAUGAAUAUUUAUCAAAUCAAACUCAAAUCCAACUUUAGCAAAUUGAGCUUUUUUACAUGUAAAUUAUAUUUUUAUUCUAAUAGAAUCAAGUUCGAGUUGAGUUUUAUAAUUUAUCGAAUACAAAAUAUUGUUUAACUCUAAUUUGAGUAAUUGGAAAAUCAAACUCGAACAAGCUCUAAUCAAACCGAACUUGAUUCGAGUAUCAAAAAAUUUGAUUUGUUUUUCAGCCCCUAUUAGCAAAUUAUUUCUUUUCAAGUGGAUCCUUAGCAAAAUUAGUUUUUGUCACCUGACAAUAUGUUUAAAAUCAAAAUUGGCCCUCCGAAGUCUUGUACAUGUCCAAGUUUGCUCCUCCUGCGAUUCCCAGCUCCCCCACCAUAUUCAUUGCAAAGACUUCCCCUUCUUCAAUUGUCUCCAUUUCCCUUCUUGUCCUCCAUCAAAGACAAAUGCUUUUGCAAGUCUUCGAAAAUGAAGGUAAACGAAGGACCAAAAGGAGUAGGACCAAAAAGAAUAUGAAGACUGCUUUUGCAAAUGCUUUUGCAAGUCUUCGAAAAUGAAUGUAAACGUAGGACCAAAAGGAAUAUGGAGACUGCUUUGCAAAUGCUUUUGCAAUGCAUGUUUGAGCACAGUGGCUAAAUGAAAGGACUUGGAAAACUUGACCGAGUCAGCUAUUUGGCCUGUCAAUUAGCCACUUGACCAAGGUAGGUAGAUUAUGUUAAAUAGAGAUGACAUGUUGUCAGCCUGUGCAAAAUAAAAACCUGCUCAAACUAAAAUUAAUUUCUGUAGAUAGUGGUAAGCAGGGUCGAAUCCACAAGGACUGGGAGUAAUUGUUUCUUUUUAAAUUCACAGUGACAAAGGGGGAUGUUUUUAUCUCAGGGGUGACAAUUUAACCAAUCCAACUAAAAGUAAAAUAAUAGAAAUAAAAUAGCCAACUAGAAAUUAAAUAACAAUUUACUAAAAUCUAAUGAGUGAUAAUUAAGGAUCUAGCCAAGGAAUAACUUCAGCAAUGGUUCACCUAAUUGAUCAUCGAAGCAAAGGCAACCCCAAUUAUUUACUAAUAAAUAGGUUAUAACUGCCAAACAAGCGAUGACAGUCAACCCCUCCUUACUGUGUCGGUGAUUAAGGUACGCCCGUUAAUCACUGCUCUAAUUAGGAAAUAAUCCUAGGUACGCCCGUAAGAUUUAAUUUCCCAAUUGCCUUACGUAUUAGAGGAGCCCUAUUCUAACCAAAUAACACACUACCAGGGUUAUUUUAAGUUAGCCCGCGUAUCCCCUUGACACGAAGCUAAUCGUGCCAGUUGUCACUAUUUCAGGACAAUUAAACAAUUACGGAUUUAAUGCCCUAAUUGACAAUAGGUUACCAGAUCAAUUAAUUAUCCGGAUCCAAGACAACCAAUUAGUUGAAUAACCAUAAGCGUAGCAAUCAAGGAAUAUACGAAUACCAGUAAAUACAAGGAAAAGAUUAAAUUAAAUCGAUCUCACAAUUUUUAGGCGAAUCAGAGCCUUCGUUGCUCCCUAGCUAGAAUUGGAAAAUUAGUUCAUAAUUGAUGAACUAAACUCACCAGAAAUUGAAGAUAAAGCUGCGGCCAUUGUCAUUGAUUUUUGAAAACUCAAUCCGUUCCAACCAGAAGGAGAUAGCAAAGUUACACGAAAGGGUCCUCUGCCUCACUACGGAUGGCAUACGAGGAAAGAUAGAAAAACUCUAAGCAUUUAACAUGAAGAAAAGUCAAGAGCUACCAAUUUCUAAUGCCUGCCAUGCGUAUGACAAGCAAAAAGCAUCUUUUAGGGGAAAAGUCAACAACCUCAAGCUAAGCUACAGACGGAAAACUAAAACUAAGCUCUCCCACAUCUGAUCCUGUUUUUCCUCCUUUAUUGCGGCAGCUCACCAGGAGGAAGAAGCCCUUCGUCCGUCAUUCCUUUGCCGAAAUUACCAAAGUGGGCGUGACAUCUUCUUUUCCAGAAAUGUCCCUGGGACAAGCUUCUAUCAUCUGGAUUCCUUUUCUGUUAAAUUGGCACCUGUUGUCAUUUUUUCGUUCUACUCCCUGAAAUAAGUGCAAAUUACGAAAAGUGAGUAGAAUCUACUAAUUAAUCCACAUUAAGUCAGAUAAUAGGGGAAAUUAAUAAUAAAAUAAAAGAGAUAACUACACCCUAUCAAGAGACUCUUCGCCACUAUCUUCACACCUUUUUUCCAAAGGUUUUUACACAGUAAUUUUUUCCCUUGAACAAUAAAAUUGAAACAUUUGUCAAUUCAUCUAAUAAUCCUUUCUCAUAUAAAACAAAUUUUUACUUGUUUUGCAACAAUGAGUUUUAAAAACUAUUUUUAUUUAAAAAUAUUAAAAACAGCCAUAGAAAAUGGAUUAAAAUUCUUUUACAGUGACAUCAUUUAAUUUUUUUUAAUUCUAAUUCUUGGUGAAUAUACUAGAUUGCAUCUACUACACUCAUUAGGCAUUGAAGCACAUAAAAUAGUCAGCAGAAGAAUCCAAAGAAUCAUUGAAAGGUACAGCCAAAUGAUAAAAAAAGAAAAAUCAGAAAUACCCGUUUUAAAGUUACACUCGAAAGACCACAAUUACAAAGCAUAAUUCCAAUCACUGAUAGACUAUGAACAAAAUUGACUAAAAAUAGGACUCAAAUUAAACUUCAAACAAAAAGAAACUAAUUGGAAACGAAAAAGAAAAAAGCUAAUUGGAAACUGCAAUUGACUAAAAAGGCGAAAAUAAUAUGAAAAACGAGUGCUGUUGCUGUUGGCAAAGGUCCAAAAACUUGUACUCAAUCUAGAUGAGGACCUAUCCGGCUAUCCCAGUCCUCAAGAGUCAAGGCAUAAGGAUGUAUUGCUUUGUCUCUCUCUUGUCUCGAUGCACCAACGUGAGGAACGGGGUGGCAGGUGGGGUGACCAACCAUUUAUUUUUAAAAUUUUUAUUUUUGAUAUUGGAACUAGGAGAGCAAACUAAUCUACUUAAACUGACUAUUUUAAUGUUCAAAAUUUUAUUUGUUCAACAUUAGUUUGUUUAUUUAAGGAGCCAAACUUGGACGGGUUUUUAGUUAACCAAACUCAAAUCGAGGUCGAGGAGAUUAAACUUUUUUUACACGUAAAUUCCACUUUUAUGAUAAUAGAGUCAAGUUCGAGUCGUGUUUGACAAUUUGUCAAACACAAAAUGCUAUUUAAGUUUGGUUUAAAUAGUUGGUGAAACGAAAUUCAAAUGAACUCUUACCGAGCCAAACUUAAUUCAAAUAUCAAAUAAUUUAUUUCAUUUCUUUGCCUUUAUUGGAGUAUUAUUUCUUUUCAAGUAAAUUCUUACCGAACUAAACUCGAUUUGAAUAUCAAGUAAUUUAGUUUUUAUCACCUGAUAAUUUACAUUGGAAUUUUGUGGAAGAAGGUGAAGGGGCAGAGAGGAUUGAAACUUGAAAGAAUAAACUUGAAGCAACAAACCUAACUAAAUUAGUGUAGAAAUCUUACAUUCCAAGCACUUUUCCUUAUGUGGAUAGGAAAUUUAAGGAAAACCAAAAUUUUCUUAAGUUGAAAAUUUCGAAGUUAAAGAGUCUGAUAUUCAAAUUUUAGAAAAAAAAAUUAUUAGAAUAUGACAUUUUAUGAGUAGACAUUCCCAUAGGAAGUGACACACCGAUAUAAAUAACCAGUAAUUCAUAUCAUUACUAUUAUACUAUUAUGUAGGUAUAAUAUGUAACCUCUUACAAAAUUUUAAAGUAAGGAAAAAGUUGUGAACAUCUAGAGAUUUAGGAUUGGGGCUAGGUAUAGGUCUUAAACUUGUAAAUAUUUUUUCGCUGACCCAAAAUCAAUUUUCCUAAGAACUUGUACCAAGAAUCUCUAUUCAAUUUCUUGAAAAUUUGUUCAAAAUAGUAUUUUUAUUGCCAAAAUGCGCACCCCCAAUCGGACUGCAGGCUUUUUAACUUCCACGAAACUGUACAUUUAAUAGUACAAAGAUUGUUGACAAAAAACCAGGAUUUCAUUAGAAUAAUACGUUCCCCAAUUUGAUCCAUGAAUAAUUCCAAACAGACUAAGUAAGCCCAAAAGAUGCUUGAAAACCAGAUCAGAUGAGGCUUGAAAUCAAAGUUCUAAGCAUAUUUAAUCUUUCAAACAAUGACCCUGGUUGCAUUCUUCUUUUGUUCUCAAAUUGGUAAUCCUAUCACAGCAAGAGCAGUUGCAGAAGUUUGUUCUUGGAUCAUAAAGCUGCAAUGUUCUCAAUUUAUCACUUUUCAUUUCUGUUGCUGCUGAGUACAUGCAACUUGCUUAGUAUUUCAUGCUACGGAAACACGAGUAGUAAUGUUUCUUGCAAUCAACUCGAUAGUAACUCCUCGCUGUCAAUAUCAAAGAACAUCACUAGUUCAACUCCUUUAAACUGGAAUGUUUCAGCUGAUUCCUGUUUCAGGGAGGGUGUUGGCUGUGAUCGUAAUGGUCAAGUGAAUUGCAUAUGGUUGCCUUCAAGAAACCUUGAAGGAACAAUCUCUACUUCAAUUAAAAGCCUCAGCCAUCUAAAAGAACUCAACUUUGCACAUAAUAAGUUAUCUGUUCGUCUCCCUGAUGGAUUGUAUUUGUCACUGAAUAGACUGGAAAUUCUGGACUUCAGCUAUAACCGGCUAUCUGAAGAAUUUCAGCCAUUUGAUCACUUUCCAGUUUCCAUCAAAAUGGUUGAUCUCUCAAGCAACGGAUUCAGCGGGGUACUUCAUUAUUCAUUCCUCCUGCAAGUAUGGAGUUUGAUUAGUUUUAAUGUCAGCAACAACAGCUUCUAUGGCCCUCUACCUACUGUCAUCUACAACUUCCUCUACUCUUCAAUUACUAUUGUUAAUUUUUCAUUCAAUUAUUUUAAUAGCUCUAUUCCUAAUGGUUAUGGAAGAUGCUCGAAAUUGAAGAUACCAUGUGCAGGUCUCAAUUCAAUCACAGGAUCUCUUCCUGAUGAUAUAUAUCAGGUGUCAACUUUGCAAGAGUUAUCCCUUCCAGGAAAUGGAAUAUCAGGUCAGGUAAGUGAAGCCAUUGGCAAUCUUUCCAACCUCAAAAUUGUUUUAACUUUAUGGCAAUAAUUGGUCAGGUGCACUUCCUCGAGAGAUUGGGAGACUUUCCAAUUUGGAACAGUUGUUUCUUCACGUAAACAAACUGAUGGCACUAUUCCCUCAACACUGAUGAAUUGCACAAGACUCAUAAAGCUGGAUAUAAGGGUGAACGUUUUAACUUGAGAACUCUCUGCUCUCGAUUUCUCCAAAUUGUUAUCAGCUUCCCAGCAACUCUCACAUUGUGUUGAGCUUUGUAACCCAUAUGCUUAACUAACCAGCUAACAGGAGGGAUUCAUCCUAACAUAGAAUUCCUGAAAUCUUUGUCCUUCAUCUCACUUUCAAAUAAUAGUUUAACCUAUAUCACUGAGGCGAUGAAUAUUCUAAGCAGGUGAAAGAAUCUCAGAACAUUACUGCUCACGAAAAACUUCUACAAUGAAUCCUUACCCUAUGAUGGAAGCAUAGUUGGUCCUGAUGGAUUUAAAAAGUUCUUGCCUUUGGUGGCUGCCAACUAAAUGGCCAAAUUGGGGAAAUUAGAGGUUCAUGGUCUUUAUGAGUUCAUAUUAGAGGUCCAAUGCUCAAUUGGAUAGGGACUUUGCCAAACCUAUUUUACUUAGAUUUCUGAACUUUCUCUCGGGUCCCCUACCAAGAUCAGUUGCAAGAUUGUCAAGACUAGCAUCUGAGCUGAUUGCUAAUCGACUAGUCCGUGCAUCCAAUGAGUUGCCUGUGCUUCUUGUUCAGCCCAUGAGCAGACACUUAUAUCUACAUAAUCAGCUUUCUAGAUUGCCACUGGCUAUAUAUCUGAAUGGACAUAAUCUCACUGGAACCAUUCUUGUCAGUAUUGGCGAAUUGCACGUACUUGAUCUCAGUCACAACAAUUUCACAGGCAGCAUUCCUGAAACAGUAUCUCACCUGAUUAGCUUGGAAAAGCUGAGCUUUUCUGAUAACUCACUUUUUGGUGAAAUUCCUUCGUCACUCAAGAAACUGCACUUCUUUCAGCGUGGCAAACAACGAUCUACGGCUCAAUACCCACUGGAGGUCAGCUUGAUACAUUCUCAAAGGAAAGUUUUGGAAGGGAAUCCACAUUUAUGUGGUUCAGUUUUUCAGCGCCCUUGCUCUGAUCCACCAAAUGCACCUGUACAAAUGCAAUCUUCAGAACAUACGGAAAAUUCAGAAAUCAGAGUCACAUUUUAGCUAUUUUUUGUAUUUCUUUUGAUAUUAGUUUCACUGUUAGUUUUAUAACUUCUUGUACAUUAUCAAGAAAGUAUCCCCCACUUUCCAACCACUAUCUCAGGUCCUGAAAGCUGCAUCCAAAACCACCCCGGCUGUAACUCUAUACACAUUUUUUUUAAGGUUAAUCUGUGGCUGUAACUUGUAAGACUCUCUGUUCUUCGGGUUGAUAUAUGCUUGUUACACAGAAUUGCAGUUUACCAGUACAAUUCUUUGAGCUUGUAGAUAAUCGUUCAUCCACUCAAGAAAAGAUAAAAAUGUACGUAGUUAAUGGAGAGGACACUCAUAACAUGAAAUGGCUUCAUUUAAUUUCACAAAUUUCUUUGAUAUAGAAACAGCCUAAUGUUGGUAAUAAAAUGUAUAGAUUCUUUCUGUAGAAAGAUAGUCACCAAUCAACUGUAAUUACACAUGAAAGAAAGUACUAGCUUUCUGCAUGACACAAAAGAACCAUACCACUUGAACUAAAGUCAAAUCUUCAGCAUGAAAGAAGCUACUAUAUAAAGGCCCAAUGCUGAAAUGAUUGAAAUGAGUGUAGUCUUGAUUGGCAUCCUUCCUUUAUCAGUUCUCAGAACCAUGGCUUCAAAAACUGGCAAGCAAUUUACCAUACCAAAACCAGAUAUAAACAGCUGCACAAAAGAAUCAUCAAAGUUUUCUCCCUUCAAAAUUUGCAUGGUACCAUGAAGGAGAGCAGCUAAAUUGAUGAUUGCAGCUGUUGCUAAUGGCAAAAAAAUAGGUGAGGCAACACCAAACUCAAAAAUCCCUCGAUCAUAUCUUUUGCUUUGUUCAUCAUCUACUAGUUUGCUUGUGACAUGGAAUCCCUGUGUGGUGAAGCCCAUGAUUUUGAUUAGGUAUUCAAGGCUUCCAAACAAUUCAUUUGUGAGUCCUCUAAUAAGCCAAAUCCUUUGUUCACUCCACCACCUGCAAUCUUGUCCAUAUGCCCCAAGAAAUAGGAAAGCAUACAAGAUAAACCAUGGAUCGGAGACCUGCAAUAAUUUUGGAAGAAUGAAUUUAAGUUGAAAGAAAAGCCUGGGCCAUAACAUGAUGCCCGAAGUUCCUGGACUUCUUGAACGUGUUUUUUCUGUCCCCAUUUUUCUAAAAUACCCAAUUUUCUCAAGGAUUUGUUACUCUAUAACCUAAUAAAUGACCAUGUAAUAGUUGAAAUCUCCGCCAUAAAAUUUCUCAAUUCAGAUACAGGCCAUUUAUUGGAUUGAAUAUACGUAUUCGAUCAAGACAAUUAUCCGUCUAUUGUGCAAUGUGUUUACUCCUUUAAGCUGAUCAUCUUGAUUUUUUUUUUUUUGGGUAUCAUCUUGAUGUUAUUGCAAGCUACUCAAUUAAAUAAAACUCAUAAUUGUAGACCGACUACAUUUAAAGCCUCAAACUAUUGUUUUAGGGAUAAAUAUUUGCGUUUUGUAGUUAAAAAAAAACCAAAAAAUAGUUUUUUCAAAUAUUUUUAUUUAGAAACUUGCCAUGGCUUACUGUUGAUAGGAUUUCCAUGGACACAGAUAUUCUAGUACAAAAUAAAGAGUCUGAUAAAAAAGUAUGACAGAGCAAAGUGAAGAUUCAGAGUAAUAUAGAUCUAUGCACCGAGGAAUUCCAACUAGUUUUGUGGUACAUACCUUAGGAAAUAUAUAGAUUUUGUUGAGAAGAAUGAGCUGAGGAAGAAAGGAAUAUGUGGUGAUCGGAAUUGACCAAAUGGAAUUAAAAGCAUAAUAUGCAUAACAAAGACUCAUCAAGGGCCCCAAAGCUUGCAUGCCAAAAGUUAAUGGACUGUAUCUGGAGAAUGCAACCUCAAGAAGGCCAACACCCCACCGGAUUUGUUGGUUUAUUACAUCGAGUAGGGUAAUUGGUAUAUCUCCCAAAAAUGCUGGCCUCUUUGGCUGGCAAAAUAUUGAUAUCCAUCCUUGAGAAUGAAGAUGAUAACCAGUGUAAUAGUCUUCCACCAAAGAACCAUAUCUAAAUCCAAUCUGCAUAUUUAGUACCCAAAGGAGGGGUGAAAAACAAAAAAAAAAAAGAACCAACUGGAUCAAUAAUAAUUGUUAAAGGUGGAAAAUGAAAAGGGAAAAGUUCAGCAAGAAAGUUCUACUCGUAAAGUUGGAGAAAAUUAGAUGCAUUUCAGCUUUUUCAAAAAAUUCUGUAAGAGAACACACUAAUUUUUGCAUUUCAUGUUUUGCCUUCUUUUCAAUUAAGUUCAAGCCAGUUUCUGCAAAAGAUGCAUACAAUAAUUGUAAGCAUGAUUUUCUGAAGACUAAGAGAUUUUUCCGAGAAAUCGUUUUCUACAGUCGACAUAGAACACCCAUGAUUAAUUGUAAACUCUAGAGCUUACUUAACAAACAACAAGAUGAAACUAAGAGAAAUGUGUAUUGGGUGAUUAUUGAUUCUAUGAAUAAACCUUUACAACAGACAAAAUUGAAAUUUAACCAGUUAUUCACUAUCUGCUAACAUAUAAUCUAAAAUUGGAGAUAAAAAGACAUUUUUUGAUAGUUCAAGCAACUUUUGACACCAGUUUAAUGCAUUUUUCUUAAUUACCCAUAGUAAGUAUGCUAGUAUGUUAUGGCCUGAAAUCAGUCCAAAUUGUCAUGCACAAAUGACUGGGAUGAGUCAGCAAGGGAGUAGCACCAGAAAUGUGAUAGCAGGAAGAGAGUCACGUGGAUUAGCAAUUGGUAUAACAGAAUGAAGAGUAGUUAUUUGGCGGGAAAAGUAGUUAGUUACUAGCAGGCUGUUCUUGAGCUCAAAGCUAAGAUUUGUAUAAAUAAUUCAUCUGCAAUUGCAGGCAGGGCAUGUAAUACGUUGUCCCAAAUUUCUUUCCUAAUCAAUUCAAUCCUUUCCUUUCCCUCUCUAUUCCCUCUCCCUUAUUUCUGAUCUCAUUCUCAAUCCCUUUCCUCUUCUUCCCCUCCCUACCUCAGAUAUCUUUCAAUUCAUUUAGUUCGAUCCAUAACAGUGGUAUCAGAGCUUGCGAUCCUUGGAUUGCAAGCUUCAAUUCACUGACAAACAUGGCUGAAGGUACCCGAAUGAAAAGCUUUGAGGAGCAACUCAGGAAACAAGAUGUCAGAAUCCAAGCAGUCCUUGACUCCAUGGUUGCAGACAAGCAAGUCAUGGAAGAAAGACUGGAGACAAAUCAAAGGGAGAUGCGAGCAUUAAUGGAGGCCAAUAAUACAGAACUGAAAAACUUUGUGAGUAAUCAAAUUAGCUCAAUUUUGAGGAGUUUGCAAGGUGACAAGGGAAUCUUGGGAAAUCCUACUGGUUCUGCAGAUCGAACUCCUAAUCAUCGAGCUACUGGAGUUCAAAAUGUCAGGCAUGGUGAAUUUGGUAGUUCAUCUGGCCGAGAGGGCCAGCAUUGGCCCAUGGGGGUUCCCAGGCUGGACUUCCCCAGAUUUGAUGGCCAUAGUCCCAAGGAAUGGAUCAGGAAGUGUGAAAAGUUCUUCCAACUGUUUCGCACUCCUGAAGAACAACAGAUUGACUUGGUGGAACUACACUUAGAAGGCAAGGCAAAUCUCUGGUAUCAGAAUUUCAAAAAAGAUCGAGGAAUAGUUCAUUGGAAGGAUUUCAGUUUGGAAGUAUGUAGGAGGUUCAGCACUGUAGGGGAAGCAGAUGCGGUGGAGGAGUUCAGCAAGCUUAGCCAAUCAUCCACUGUUUUGGCUUAUCAGGAGAAGUUUGAAGAGUUGAGGUCCAUUGUAAUGAUCCAGGUGCCAGAACUAACUGAAUCUUACUACAUUGCUAGUUUCCUAAGUGGAUUGAGGGGGAAAUUAAGUCUGCUGUGAAGAUGCAUAGGCCAGACUCUCUACAAGCUGCCUUUGAGAUGGCCAGAUGGCAGGAGCACCAUUUGGAGCUUGUUCACAAGUUCAGCAGGACCACACUCAAGAGUACAUUACACUCUGGCUCCUAUGGUCUUACCAAGGGAACGCAGGGAGUCCAGGAUCCAGGAGCAAGGCAGGCUAGUACUUCGCCCACAGACUACAACAAGAGGUCCAAUUCACAGCAAGUUUUUAGGAAAAUUUCUCCUACUGAAUUCCAAUACAGGAAGGAGCACAACCUAUGCUUUAGGUGUGGAGACAAAUUUACUCCUGGACACACUUGUAAGAGCAAGGGGAUCCACAUGAUGUUAAUAGAAGAUGAGGAAAAAGGUGAGGCAGAACAAACAACAAAGGAAGAGGAAAUUAUUGAGCACAUGGGGAACCAGCAGGAGCAAGAUGUGAUGUUGACCCUGCAUGCAAUGACAGGGGAAUUAUCUUCAAGUGUCAUCAAAAUGCAGGGGCAGUACAAGAAUCGUCAGCUGACAAUCCUACUGGAUGGAGGAAGUACCAACUGUUUUAUCAGGAGAUCAGUGGCACAGUUGUACCCAGAAACUGUGCAGAAGCAUAGGCCUUUUAAGGUCAAGAUUGCGGAUGGCAAAGAGCUGCACUGUGACCAGUGGAUUCCAGGAAUGCAGUGGGAUAUGCAGGGCCACACAUUUACACAUGAUGUAUUUGUCAUGGACCUGGAACCUUAUGAUAUGAUCCUUGGGGUGGAUUGGAUGAAAACCUACAGCCCCAUUACCUUUGAUUUCAAGAGACUAAACCUGUCUUUUGAGAAGGGAGGAGAGCAAGUGGUGUUAAAAGGAGACUCCAACAAUGCAAACGUUAGAAUGCAGCAAGGCUCCACAGCUCAUAAAUAUGUCAGACAUAGGAUCAGGAAGGCUCUGCAGCACUCUUGUAUGGUGAAGGUUCACAACUCACAGGUAAUUUCUGAACCAGAUUCUCUUACUCAGUUGUUGGCCAAGUAUGAUGAUGUCUUUGCAGAACCUAAAACUCUUCCCCCAAACAGAUGCCAUGAUCACCAAAUCCCCCUUAAACCAGAUGCCAAACCUUUCAAAAUUUCCCCAUAUAGGUACCCCCAUGUACAGAAAAAUGAAAUUGACAAGCAAGUGAAGGACAUGUUAACCUCUGGUCUUAUACAAAUUAGCCACAGCCCCUUUGCAUCACCUGCUCUCUUAGUUAAAAAGAAAGAUGGGAGCUGGAGGCUUUGUAUUGAUUAUAGACAACUGAACAAUCUUACCAUCAAAGAUAAAUUUCCAAUCCCUAUUAUAGAUGACUUACUGGAUGAGUUACAUGGAGCCAGGGUCUUCUCUAAGAUUGAUCUGAGAUCAGGUUAUCACCAAAUCAGAAUGAGACCUGAGGACAUCCAUAAAACUGCUUUUAGAACUCAUUCUGGACUUUAUGAAUUCCUUGUAAUGCCAUUUGGCCUGACAAAUGCCCCCGCCACCUUUCAAGCACUAAUGAACUCAGUUUUUGAACCUUACAUCAGAAAAUUUGUCCUUGUGUUCUUUGAUGACAUUCUGAUCUAUAGUCCAGAUUAUAAAACCCACUUACAUCACUUAUCCUUAGUAUUAGGAACCUUGAGAAAACACUCCUUGUAUGCAAAGAUGUCUAAAUGUUCUUUUGGUCAAAACCAAGUGGAGUAUCUGGGACAUGUUAUUACUAGUGAGGGUGUGAAUACUGACCCAUCCAAGGUGGAGGCUAUGCUGUCCUGGCCAACUCCUACUUGUUUGAAGGCCCUCAGAGGAUUUUUGGGCCUAACAGGGUAUUACAGGAGGUUCGUCAAGGGGUAUGGAGGAAUUGCUAAGCCUCUCACUGAGUUACUGAAGAAGGAUCAAUUUGCUUGGAAUGCUGUUGCAGAAUCUGCAUUUAAACAGUUGAAGGAGGUCAUGAGUAAAUCUCCAGUAUUAGCAUUACCUGACUUCUCAAAACCAUUCCAAUUAGAAACUGAUGCUAGUCAGUCAGCUAUUGGGGCUGUUCUGAUGCAACAAGGGAGACCUAUUGCUUACUACAGUCAAGUGUUGGGCCAGAAGAACCAGACCAGAUCCACCUAUGAAAAAGAACUCCUAUCACUCAUCACAGCAGUUCAAAAAUGGAAACAUUACUUGAUGGGGAACCACUUUAUUAUAAAGACUGACCAUGAGAGCCUUAAAUACUUCCUGGAUCAGAAAAUAAACACUCCUCUUCAACAGAAGUGGCUGGUUAAACUUUUGGGGAUGGAUUAUGAGAUCCAGUAUAAGAGGGGUAAGGACAAUAUGGUUGCUGAUGCAUUAUCAAGGAGGGGAGAACAGGAGGAGUCAGCAGAAACGUUUGUACAUGCCAUCACUACCAUCAAGCCUCAAUGGCUGUCCAUGGUAGCUGAGAGCUACAAUGGUGAUGACAUGGCAAAGGAGGUUCUACUGAGGUUGGCCAUGGGAGCUGAAGCAUUACCUGACUACUCUUAUAACCAAGGGAUUUUGAGAUUUAAAGGAAGGAUUUGGGUAGGAGCAGAUGAUGGACUAAGGCAAAAAUUGAUUUCCUGUUUUCAUGAUUCUUGUCUUGGAGGUCACUCUGGGAAUCAUGGUACUUAUCAGAGGAUCAAAAGCUACCUAUACUGGCCUGGAAUGAAAAAGGAGGUUGAACAGUAUGUACAGAACUGUGAUGUCUGCAAGAGAAGUAAAAAUGAGAAUUGCGCUUAUCCAGGACUGUUGCAGCCAUUGGCCAUUCCUGAGCAAGCUUGGCAACAAAUUUCCAUGGAUUUCAUAGAAGGUUUGCCUAAAUCUUUUGGUUGUAAUGUCAUCUAUGUGGUGGUAGACAGAUUUACUAAAUAUGCUCAUUUCAUCCCUAUGACUUCUCAUUAUACUGCUAAAAGUGUAGCAGAGACAUUCUUUGAUCAGAUCUUCAGGUUACAUGGCCUACCAACACACAUUGUCUCUGAUAGGGAUAAAGCCUUUACUAGCUUGUUCUGGCAGGAACUCUUCAAGAUGCUUGGCACAGAGCUAAAUCUCUCUUCUGCAUAUCACCCUCAGUCUGAUGGACAGACUGAGAGGGUUAAUAGAUGUGUAGAAAGCUACCUGAGGAGUGUGUGUAUGUAUCAACCAGGGAAGUGGAGGAAGUGGCUUCCUGCAGCAGAAUGGUGGUAUAACACUAACCACCAUAGCAGUCUACAAAUGUCCCCUUUCCAGGCCUUAUAUGGUUACAAACCUAUACAACUGAACCUGAGGCCCGAUAAAACAAUAGUAGCUGCUGUGGAGGAUUGGGCACAGGAAAGAGUAGGCUGGAAUUCCUUGCUCAAAGAGAACUUGUUUAAAGCUCAGAACAGAAUGAAGCAAAUGGCUGAUAAAGGGAGGAGUGACAGGGAGUUUAUAGUGGGAGAGUGGGCUUAUUUGAAGCUCCAACCUUACAGACAAACCUCAGUAGCCGUAAGGAGGAAUUUGAAAUUGACUGCUAAGUACUACGGGCCCUAUCAGGUGGAACAAAAGGUGGGGACUGUAGCAUACAAGCUGAAGCUACCUGCCGGAUCCACCAUACACCCUGUUUUUCAUGUUUCACUGCUCAAGAAGUCACCAAAGGAGGCUCCAGUCAGCACUACCUUGCCUACCUUGAACGCAGAUAGUGAGUUUGAGGUUACCCCUUUAGCGGUGUUGGAUAGAAGGACAAUCUAUAGGAAGGGGCAGGGAGUCGAGCAAGUGUUGGUACAGUGGGAAAACAUGGAACCUGAGGAAGCAACUUGGGAGGAUUGGACGUUCAUUCAUGCUCAAUUUUCUUCCUUCCAAAUCAAUCAAUCCUAGAGACUAGGAUUGUUUUAGGGGGAGGUAUUGUUAUGGCCUGAAAUCAGUCCAAAUUGUCAUGCACAAAUGACUGGGAUGAGUCAGCAAGGGAGUAGCACCAGAAAUGUGAUAGCAGGAAGAGAGUCACGUGGAUUAGCAAUUGGUAUAACAGAAUGAAGAGUAGUUAUUUGGCGGGAAAAGUAGUUAGUUACUAGCAGGCUGUUCUUGAGCUCAAAGCUAAGAUUUGUAUAAAUAAUUCAUCUGCAAUUGCAGGCAGGGCAUGUAAUACGUUGUCCCAAAUUUCUUUCCUAAUCAAUUCAAUCCUUUCCUUUCCCUCUCUAUUCCCUCUCCCUUAUUUCUGAUCUCAUUCUCAAUCCCUUUCCUCUUCUUCCCCUCCCUACCUCAGAUAUCUUUCAAUUCAUUUAGUUCGAUCCAUAACAUAGUAUGGAAUGCAAAUAAUUAUCUGACUACAAUAAACUAUUGAAGAUUACCUUAGAACCCCAAUUAGUCCCUUUCUCAUAAUUGCAACCUGCCAAACGAUCAGCCAGCUCCAAAAUAUGCUUAGACUUAAUAGAACUAUUGACUUCAUGAUCAGGGCUCAGCUGGGGCAAUUCUGGCUGUACAAAAAAUGCCUUUGAUGGACCACCAAAGAAAGCUCUUCUCAUGAAAAAGCAUCCAGACCCCAUAUUAUCAGGGCCUAAUAAUCCAUCCAUCCCCUUUGGGUUGAUGUGAAACCAACGUUUCAUCUCGGAUGAAUAGAUGUCAUUCUUGUUUAGGCCAUUGAAACAUUGAGGAAAUUGAACAUAGGCCAAUUUUGGCCUAAUUGAAGUGUCCAUGAAGUAGCAUAGGACAUUAUAUGGAGUUCUGCGGUCAUUUGAGAUCAUGUCGCAGUCUUGGAUUAGAAUUGUAGGACCAUUUGUCAUAACAGCUGAUACACGAAGCUAAAGAGCAGAUCAAGGGGAAAAAAACAAAAAAAAAAAGAGAAUUUAAAUUUGAAGAGGUUAAAACGAAGAUUUGAGGUCACACAAUCCGUAAAGUCAAAACAAGUACACCAUGGUAAGAAAAUUAAAAAUUAUAAGUAGCUUACCGAUGAUUCACACAAUGUUUACUAGUAUGAUUGAACCAUUCAAACCUAGCAUAUGAGUUUGAGGUCUUAAGUUCGAGUCUCACAUGAGUUUAGUCUAACUUUUUCAAUCUCAUGUUCAAGUUUCGCGUGAGUUUAAUCUAGCUUUAUGUUACUAUUGGCCUAAAAAGAAAACUUUAUGUUACUAUUUCUCCUAUUAUUUUUUGGGUUGAUAAAAUACUAUUGCAUGAGUUCAGUCUAACUCUAUGUUAGUAUUUAUCCUACCAUUUGUGAAUUGUAUAAACAUUAAUGAGUCAAUUUAGUCUAAUUAUCCCACUAUUUUAGGGUAAGUAAAAAUGUUUUGAGUUUAAUCUGUUUACAUUAAUUUCACCAUUCUAUAUAAAUUGCAAUCUUAUAGAAGAAAAGAAAAGGUAAAUUUUUCAAUUACUUAGCUUACCAGCGUAUUAAGGGCUUCAGCUUUAAAUUGAUGUGGAGAAGUCCUGCUUUUCUCUCUAGACACAUAUAUGAGAUUUGGCAUUGGGUAGCCUGUUACAUCUUUAUCCUUGCAGCUUUCAAGCAAAACCUGCUCAAAUUCAUGCAAAUCUAAAAAUGAAAUAACAUAACUGUUACUUUUAAAAUAUCAUCAAUUCAUCAUAGUCAUGUAAAUUAUUGAUCAUGGCAUUCUUUUUUUUUUUGAGGCUUUACACUGUAAGAAUAAAAAAAUGAAAGUCAAAAAAUUUCUUGCAUGACCUCAAAAUUUUGUUUGUGACUUUGUAUUUUGUAAAAAUGCAUAUUGCGGUUUUUUGGCCCGAUAGUCUGGACCAGUAUUAGAUUCUUAUAUUUCAACUCUGACAUGGUUGGGCGAGUUCUUCUCCAUGCUUGUAGUGCAAUUUGUACCUCUGUAAGACCAACAUUGCCAUUUCUUUCAAAGAGUAUCACCCUCUUACUUGUCUAUAAAUACCUCUAUAACUAAUAAUCAUUCAUUAGCAUAUAUAACACUCUCUUUUUAAUCUACCUACUUUAUUUUUGUGAACUUAAGCAUUGAAGUAACCCAGGAUAUACUACUCCAUUUUGCACUCUCCUAGCUUUUUGUCUUGUUGUUCUAUUUGAGAAGGGCCUGUUCCAAUCAAACCUUAUCAGUAGGAAUGGACGGAAAAGAGUUUGGAAGGGAACUGAAACUCAAACACACUAAAAGUUUCAACAUUUUGAACAUAGAGCCAAGUAAAAAAAAAAAAGUAAAAGAAUCUGUAUCAUUUACUGCAGUUGUCUUUGGAUUUGAAUUGCCAUGUGAUUCACUAAAAGAAAAUAGUUGAAUUAAUGGAUAGCUUUCCAAAAUGGAGAAGAAUUUCCUUUAGAAUUCAAAGUAACAAAGUAUGUUGAAAAAAAAAAUUUAACACUUUUUAUGAUACGAUGUAUGUGAGACAAAAGAAUAGUUAGAAAGAUUAAAAAAAUGGUUGAAAAAUGUGGUAUGAAAAGAUAAUUUAAGUCACAAAUCUAGAAUCAUGAAAAGAUAUAAAAUCCUACCCAAAAAAAAAGAAAGAAAGGAUAAUAUGACUAUAUCUAGCUCUAUGUCCUUAAACUUGUGACAGGAUGUCAGCCUGUGCAAUAAUAAAAACCUGUUCAAACUAAAAAUAAUUUCUGUAGAUAGCGGUGAACAGGGUCGAAUCCACAGGAACUGGGAGUAAUUGUUUCUUUUCAAAUUCACAGUGAUAAGGGGUGUUUUUAUAUCAGGGGUGACAAUUUAAGCAAUUCAAUUAAAAGUAAAAUAAUAAAAAUAAAAUAGCCAACUAGAAAUUAAAUAACAAUUUACUAAAAUCAAAUGAGUGAUAAUUAAGGAUCUAGCCAAGAAAUAACUUCAGCAAUGGUUCACCUAAUUGAUCAUCGAUGCAAAGCCAAUUCCAAUUAUUUACCAAUAAAUAGGUUAUAACUGCCAAACAAGCGAUGACAGUCAACCCCUCCUUAUUGUGUCGGUGAUUAAGGUACGCCCGUUAAUCACUGCUCUAAUUGAGAAAUAAUCUUAGGUACGCCCGUAAGAUUUAAUUCCUCAAUUGCCUUACGUAUUAGAGGAGUCCUAUUCUAACCAAAUAACGUACUACCAGGGUUAUUUUAGGUUAGCCCGCGUAUCCCCCUGACACAAAUCUAAUUAUGCCAGUUGUCACUAUAUCAAGACAAUUAAACAAUUACGGAUUUAAUGCCCUAAUUGGCAAUAGAUUACCAAAUUAACUAAUUAUCUGGAUCCAAGAUAAUCAAUUAAUUAAAUAAUCAUAAGCACUGUAACCAGAGAAUAUGCGAAUACCAAUAAAUAAAAGAAAAAGAUAAAAUUAAAUCAAUCUCACAAUUUUCAGGCGAAUCAAAACCUCCGUUGUUCCUUGACUAGAAAAGCAGAUUUAAUUCAUCUCGGACGCGAAAAACCCAUACAAAGCGAAAGUAACAAUUGCUGCCUUUGUCAUUAAUCGGGAGAAUUCAAUUUGCUUGAAUUACGAAAGAAAGGUCAGCCACAGCGAUUGAUUCAAUUGCUUUCUCAUUGUCCCGGUCAUAUGAGAAGAAAACCACUAAGGAACGGAAGAACCGAAAAAGUCCGAGUGAAAAGCUAAUCUAAAGCUAAGAGAGAAAAGUCAAAAGCUAAAAACAAAGUAGUGCUCAGUGUCUGCCAUAUAUCAAUUGCUCCUAUUCUAAUGACUACUGUGCGGCGUCCGCCGCCCAGCCCAGAGAGGAAAAAGAGGAGACUUCGGCCUCCUCUUUUUAAUGCUGUCCUCGGGCCAAUUACCAAGAAGGUCCAGGUUUGAUAUUUCAAGAGUGUCUCUAGAUGCUUGCUACUUGAACUUUUUCUUGAUAACCGUCAAAUUGAUCUUGAUUGUGAUAUUUUUGUUCUAUCCUCUGAAAUAAAUAUAAAUUACGAAAAGUGAGUAGUAUCUAAUAAUUAAUUAUAUCAGGUCAGAUAAUAAAAAAAAUUAAUAAUAAAAAAAUGAUAAAAUUACAACCUAUCAACUCACUAGAUAGUGAAAUGUAAAUUCUAGCAGUAUUUAGUGUAAAUUUCAAAGUAAAAGUUUAGGCACUCGUUAAAAUACAAGUAACUUAUCAAAGUAAAAGUAACUCACUCGUUAAAACUAUGAGGAACCUGUGAAAUCAAAGGCUUAGAGCUUUUAAAAUUUCUUAUCGUAAUUAAACAAUUUCAAUUAAAUAUAGAACAUUAAAAUGACAUUAGCAUUUGGGAGCUGCUGGGUGAUAUCAAAUUAACAAUGCAUAAAGCCUUUUUUCAAUUCCAUGGUCCAUCACCAGCUUGGCUUUUUUGGCUCUAAUUCCCAAUCGUUAGAACUCGGCAGCUACUGGGUGAUACUAAGUUAUUAAUUGAUGCAUAAAGCCUUUUUCAAUAAUAUACAUUUUAUUUCUUAAAAGUUCAGUAACUGUAAAAAAAAAUAAAAAUAAAAAAAGCCACAUAACAUACAUCAUAUGGAUUUUGAUACAAUUAAUAAUCAUGGGAUCCUAAUCAUUUGUUUACCCAAACGACAAAAUAUUAUUUAAAAAAAAUAUGCAACGUACUUCAUAGGUACAAUUAUUGGAGUUCUAGCCUCACGAUCAGGAACAUUCUUGCUAUGCAACAUUGAUAGGCAUGAAUUGCUGUCAUUUACUUCACAAAAAUUCGCAGUUGAAGUUGUUAAUUAGCUAAGUUUUUUGGAAUUUAUUGAAAAAGGUGGAGUGACAGAGAGGAUCCACUUUCCAGCUACCAUCAAAAUCGUUGAUCUCUCAAGCAAGCAUGGAAUUUGAUGAGUUUCAAUGUCAGCAACAGCAGCUUCAAUUACUGUCAUAUGCAACUUCUCCUACUCAUCAAUUACUGUUCUUGACUUUUCGUUCAAUUAUUCUAAUAGCUCUGCUGCUGAUGGUUAUGGAAGAUGCUCGAAGCUGAAGAUACCACGUGCAGGUUUCAAUUCAAUCACAGGAUCUCUUCCUGAUGAUAUACAUCAGGUGUCAACUCUGCAAGAGUUUUUCCUACAAUAUCACUGAGGCUUUGGAUGUUCUAAGCAGAUGCAAGACAGAUACUUCUUGCAAUAUAAUCAGUUUUCAAGAUUGCAAUCUGCUAUAUAUCUGAACGGAAAUAACCUCAUUGGAAACGUUCCUGUCAGUAUUGGUGAUUUGAAGUUUAUUCACGUCCUCGAGCACAGUCACAGCAAUUUUCACAGGCAGCAUUCCUGACACAGUAUCUCAACUAAUUAUUAACUUGGAAAAGCCGAACUUUUCUGACAACUCUCUUUUGUGGUGAAAUUCCUUCAUCACUGAACAAACGACACUUCUUAUCUUUUUUUCAGCGUGGCUAACAAUAAUGUACAAGGCUCAAUACCCACUGGAGGUCAAUUUGACACAUUCUCAGAACAAAGUUUUGAAGGAAAUCCAAAUUUAUGUGGUCCAGUUCUUCAGCGGUCUUGCUCUGAAUUCUUAUCCACCAAAUGUAAGCGUACAGAUGCAAUUCUUCAGAACACACAUAAAUUUCAGAAAUCAUAACCAUAUUUUGGCUCAUUUUUGGUAUCUCUUUUGGUAUUAGUUUCACUGUUAGUUUUAUAAUUUGAGGCAUAUUAUCAAGAAAGCAUCCCCCAGGAUCCGGCUGCAGAUACAUUUUUUUCCACCUCUAGUUUUCAACCACUAACUCAGGUGCUAAAUGGGGCAUCCAAGACCAGCCUGGCUUUACAUAUCAAUGGCUGUAAGACUCUUUGUUCUUGGGUUGAUGUGUGCUUACUAUAUAGAGAAAAGAUGUGGUAAUGAAUCUUACUGUAAGAAAUGAGACGAGGUGGUAACAGUUCUGAUCACCACUUCACAAUGAGUAAUUUCUUAGUGAUUUUUCGUCAAGGGCAUUGACAUUUUAUUCAAUAAUUUGAUCAAAAAUGACAUAUGUAUUAUUGCACAAUAUGGUUGUAUCAUAUGAUAUACAAUAUGGUUGUACAAUACUGGUCCUUUUAAACCUUUAUGCUGAUGAUAUAAGAAUUCUAACUUUCAGGAUAAGAUUACCAUACAUUUCCAAACUCGAUUGGAUAGGCAGAUUUUAUUUUUACACAGGAUACAUACUCUGCAUCAUAUCAUCUUCUGCAGAUGCAUGAUAGUGCUAUGUAGGAAGGGGGGAGGGGGGGGGGAAAGGUAUUGAUGGGGCACCGCAGUCUGCAUUUAAUAGGAGGCAAGAUACCUGCAAAAAUAAAAAACAUCAUCCAAGUUCAACAUAUCCGGUUCACCUAUUAAUUUAACAAGAAAAGAAAUGGACAAGAAGUUCACAUGGCCUACAUUGAGUAUCAACAUGUAGAUAUCAACCUGGAAAUAAUGAGCAUUGUUGGCCUGCAUUGAGGAUCAACAUGUAGACAUUCUCUUGCUAGUUUGAGAAUGGAUAGAAGACUCUCUUCAAUUUGUCGAUUGGGAAACAAAAGUCUUUUGUCUAGCAAGACUUUUAAUUCUAUCUCUUCAAGCUUUGAAGACAUUAGAUUAGCAAUCAAGUCGCCAGGAUGCUUUCCUUUGAUUACUUCCAUUGUCAGGACCCCAAAGCUAUAAACGUCACACUUUUCGUUAACUUUCAUUGUGUAGGCAAAUUCUGCAAAAGAGAGUUGGAAAAUGAUUUUUCAUGAUAUGUGAUCAUACUUGAAUUUACUAGUUAACAAAUUAGUGACAGGAAAAGGAAAAAAAAUAACUUUUUUACCUGGUGCAACAUAUCCAUAUGUGCCUGCAAGAGAACUCCAGUUAGAUGAGUCUCUUCUGAGAAACUUGGCAGUGCCAAAAUCUGAAACAUGAGCCUCGCAUUCUGGAUCAAGCAAAAUGUUGUUGCUUGAUAUGUCUCGGUGUAUAAUUGGUGGUGAACAAUCAUGAUGCAUGUAAGAUAAAGCAUGAGCGACGCCUUUGAUGAUAUUCAACCUCUCUUGCCAGUCUAGUUCCUUAGCUUCUUCUUCUAUGCUCAAGAUUUUGGCCAAGCUUCCCCUUUCGAGGUACUCAUAAACCAAAAUUGAAUGCUGAGCAUUUGAGCAGAAGCCAAAGAGUUUCACAAUGUUUCGAUGCUUGAUUUCUGUCAAGGCCCUGAUCUCAUUCAAGAAACUUUUAUCCUUUGCUACAUUAGGUGCGUUGUGAAGUCUUUUUACAGCUACUACCUCGCCUGCUGGAAGCUGUGCUUUGUAAACACUUCCACAACCUCCUUUCCCAAUGCAAAAUGUUUCACUGAACUCUUCUGUAGAACUCACGAUUUCUUUAUACAAUGCUUUGCCAUCAUAAGCACAUAUGGCAAAUAAACCGCCUUUAUUCACCUCAAUAUCUUCCUCCCUUGAAUUUUGUUUUCUCCGAUCAUGCAAUUUGAGAACACCGAAGAAUGCACCAAGAAGUAUGAAUGAUCCCAGAAGAGGUAAUGCAGUUAUGAGAACAAAUUCCUUCCUUUUAUCCUUGACAUGCUUUUUAAUCAACUGGGAACUUUCACAAGCUCGUAACCCUGUAAUAGUGCCACACAAACCUUUAUUUCCCUUUACUUCUUCUAAGGUUAGAUUCACAAAAGCUCUACCACUCGGAAUUGGGCCGUCCAAAUUAUUAAAAGAAAGAUUAAUGUGCAAUAAACCAGGCAAUUCUGCCAAAACCUUUGGGAUCAAACCAGAGAGGUUAUUCUGGGAGAGAUCCAAUGUCCCCAAACUCUGCAAAUUUUGAAACUCAGAUGGUAUCUCUCCUGUGAAUAGAUUUUGACUCAAAUCCAGUUCAGAAAGUUGGGUUAACUUCCCAAUCUGCAAUGGAAUCUUUUGACUUAAAACAUUAUUGCUCAAGUUCAUGUGAAACAAGUGUUUCAAAUCUCCCAGAAGUUCGGGUAAAGUUCCAUUCAAGGAGUUUGUGGACAGGUCUAGAAAUUCCAUUAACAUUCCCAAUUCUUGAGGUAUACCCCCAGUAAGCUGGUUGCCAUGCAAAUCUAGUUUAAUCAUGGAAGCUAACUUCCCAACUCCCCUCGGUAUCUCCCCUGAUAAAUAAUUCAA